rnacentral:lncRNA from 1 species
GACCCAUACCCUUGCAAUAGAAGCACUCUGUUUCAGGCUUAGGUCCAGCCUUGGGUUUCUUCGGCGGAUUGGCAACAGGCUUGCCGCUCUUCUUCGAAUUGCCCUUCUUGCCUUUGCCGUUUCUCUUGAAACUAGUGGUCUUGCUCACCAUCAACACUUGAUGCUCUUUACGGAGUCCAGACUCUGCGACUUUCAGCAUCGCAAACAACUCGCCGGGAGACUUGUUCAUCCCUUGCAUGUUGUAGUUCAACACAAAGCCUUUAUAGCUUGGCGGUAGUGAUUGAAGGAUUCUGUCAGUGAUAGCUUCUUGCGGGAGUUCAAUCCCCAGCUCAGCUAGAAGGUUUGAGUACCCAGACAUUUUGAGCACAUGUUCACUGACAGAUGAGUUUUCCUCCAUCUUGCAAGCAUAGAAUUUAUCGGAGGUCUCAUACCUCUCGAUCCGGGCGUUCUUAUGAAAGAUAAACUUCAACUCCUGGAACAUCUCAAAUGCUCCAUGACGCUCAAAGCGACGUUGAAGUCCCGGUUCUAAGCCAUACAAGACUGCACAUUGAACUAUUGAGUAGUCCUCCUUACACGCUAACCAAGCGUUCUUAACAUCCUGAUCAGCCGUAGCGGGUGGUUCAUCUCCUAGCGCAGCAUUAAGGACAUAAUCCUUCUUCCCAGCUUGUAAGAUUAGCUUAAGAUUACGAGCCCAGUCUACAAAGUUGCUUCCAUCAUCUUUCAACUUAGCUUUCUCUAGGAACGUAUUAAAAUUCAGGAUGACACUCGCGUGAGCCAUGAUCUACAACACAAAUAUAUUCAAAGUGGACUUAGACUAUGUUCAAGAUAAUUAGAGUUUAACUUAAUCAAAUUAUUCGCUAAACUAACACUCAAAAAGUACAUCUCUCUAGUCAUUUGAAUGGUUCAUGAUCCACUUACACUAGCUCAAGUCCGAUCAUCACGUGAGUUGAGUAUAGUUUCAGUGGUAAGCAUCCCUAUGCUAAUCAUAUCAACUAUAUGAUUCAUGAUCGACCUUUCGGUCUCAUGUGUUCCGAGGCCAUGUCUGCACAUGCUAGGCUCGUCAAGCUUAACCCGAGUGUUCCGCGUGCGCAACUGUUUUGCACCCGUUGUAUGUGAACGUUGAGUCUAUCACACCCGAUCAUCACGUGGUGUCUCGAAACGACGAACUGUAGCAACGGUGCAUAGUCGGGGAGAACACAAUUUCGUCUUGAAAUUUUAGUGAGAGAUCACCUCAUAAUGCUACCGUCGUUCUAAGCAAAAUAAGGUGCAUAAAAGGAUUAACAUCACAUGCAAUUCAUAAGUGACAUGAUAUGGCCAUCAUCACGUGCUUCUUGAUCUCCAUCACCAAAGCACCGGCACGAUCUUCUUGUCACCGGCGCCACACCAUGAUCUCCAUCAACGUGUUGCCAUCGGGGUUGUCGUGCUACUCAUGCUAUUACUACUAAAGCUACAUCCUAGCAAAAUAGUAAACGCAUCUGCAAGCACAAACGUUAGUAUAAAGACAACCCUUUGGCUCCUGCCGGUUGCCGUACCAUCGACGUGCAAGUCGAUAUUUCUAUUACAACAUGAUCAUCUCAUACAUCCAAUAUAUCACAUCACAUCAUUGGCCAUAUCACAUCNNNNNNNNNNNNNNNNNNNNNNNNNNNNNNNNNNNNNNNNNNNNNNNNNNNNNNNNNNNNNNNNNNNNNNNNNNNNNNNNNNNNNNNNNNNNNNNNNNNNGAAAGAACCCAGGGAGGUUGUGAGUUUGAAUCCUACCAAGGCUAAGGAGGGUCUUCGUAUUAACCCUUCCAUUGCUAAGGAGGGUUUGCCUGCUCUUACACUUUAUGAUUACCUAGCAUCUGCUAGGAGCGAUGCAGCGGUGCUGCCGCUUGGACAGUCAGCCAAGGUAUUGGCCACGGCUGCUCACGAACCACAUGCACAAGCGGCAGUACAGGAUAUGCAUGCUUCACCGACGGGAUGUGUGGCGUUGGCAAGCUCACAUGUACUGGAGGACACGGGUGCUCGCGAACCACGUGAACAAUCGGCUGUUGAGGUUUUGCAUGUUACACCGGCGGGACGCACAACGUUGGCGAGCUCACAGGACGUUCAUGGACAGUUUUCUGCUGAACAGGUCUUAGCGUAUGGUGGUAUUGCGAAUCCGAUGACAGCAGGCAGACUGUCUAGUCAGAGGAUCCAGACGUAGCCAGACAUGGAUGACUUGCAGAUGGGGCGGGCUAUGCGAGCGGCAAAAAUGGGGGAUGCUGAAGUUUCGACAGGUAUGUCAAUCAACAAGGCUCAUUCCAUUCUUCAUUUUUCGCCGCAUGAAAUUAUAGACAAUGCUACUUCUGUUGGGGUGUCUCUUGGAAACACGGGUAAAGAAGUUGCCAAAUCUAUUAAUGACCUAAUUGACUUAGAGCUAGAUAGGGCUUUGGAUAUAGUAAGAAACUUGGCUGCUAUCAAACCAAUGAAUGACUCUGAGAUUAAUGCACUGGGGGAGUUGAAUUCUCUAUGUGAGAAUCUUGCUCCCUUCAAGGGUCAAUAGGAGGAUCAUGAUCAUAUCUCCGAUGAGUGCCGUGACGAUGUGCAACCUAAUGAGGUAGACUCACGACACCCUGGUUAUAUGGACCAGGAUGUGGGUGGUGAAAAACUUAAGUGACCAUGGAAGCGGAAAGUUUAUCCGGUUUCUGUGGUGUGUAGAAGUGCCAGAUUUAAGACUGCUAAAUUUUUUUAUGAUGAAAGAUGAGAGGGAUCUUUUGGAAUAGCAGAUGUCUAAAAGACUUGGCUAAAAUUAGAUUCCUAGCAGAGGCUACUUUAGAGUACAAACUAGAUUUUAUCGCGCUCAUGGAGACACGGCGAGAUCACUUUACAUCAUAUUUUGAUUGGCACUGUCUCCCUCCAAGAGGAAGAUACGGUGGGAUCUUACUUGGUGUGCGGUGCGAAUCACUUCACGUGCGUGAAGUGGUGUUGGGGGAAUUUGCGGUUACGUUUCGGAUUAGAUCAAAAAAUGACGGUUUUCAAUGGGCUCUUGUUGCUGUGUAUGGUGCAGCCCAGUCAGAUUUGAAGCCCGGUUUUUUGGCUGAUCUGGUCCAGAUUUGUGAUGAAAAGUUACCUCUAUUAGUUGGGGUUGAUUUUAAUAUCAUACGCCAGUGUGAUGAAAAGAACAAUGAUAAUUUUGAUGGCAGAUGGCCAUUUAUGUUUAACACAAUUAUUGAAAGCUUGGACCUCAGGGAGAUUGAACUUUCAGGAAGGAAGUUCACCCGGGCUAAUUCCUUACAAAACCAGACUUUCGAAAAGCAAGACAGGGUACUUACUAGCAUCGCAUGGGAACAGAAGUUCGCGCUAGUCACUGUCUGUGCACUUCAACGAGCAAUCUCUGAUCAUACCCCACUUCUGCUCGAUUCCGGUGACGCAAUUCAUAUGGACAAAAAGAAUAGUUUCACUUUUGAAUCGAGUUGGUUUUUGAGAGAAGGAUUCAUGGAUAUAAUUGCUAGGGAAUGGAGCAAUGAGUGCGGAGGGACGUCUAACGCUGAAAGAUGGCAACACAAGAUCAGACAUCUUAGACAAUUCCUACGGGGAUGGGCAAAAAAUGAAUUUGGGAUCUAUAAGGAGGAGUAGGACAUGCUUCUUAAACUCAUAGAUGAUCUUGAUCGCAAAGCUGAGACUUGUUCGUUGGAUGGAAAUGAACGGGCAUCCAAAGACGAGGCUGAACAGAGAGUGCGUAUACUCCUUAGAGAGGAGGAAAUGAAAUGGGCUCUUAGAGCCAAAGUGCGGGCCAUUGUUCAUGGGGAUAGUAACACACAAAAAAUUCGAUUUGAUUGAGAAUGGCAAACAUAGGAAAAAGAGAAUUUUGCAAUUAGAGCAGGAUGAGGGUACAACCGUAGGUCACGAGAACCUAAAAUUGUACAUUUCAACCUACUAUAAACAGCUCUUUGGAGCUUCAGAUCAUAGUUCUAUCAUUAUGGAUGAGAAAAUGGUAGCAGAUAUUCCUCAAAUCAGAGAUGCCGAUAAUGAGCUCUUAUCCGCUCCUUUUACGGAGAAAGAGGUGUUUCGGGCCAUUGGGCAAAUGAAGAACAGCAAAGCUGCAGGACCGGAUGGGUUUCCGGCUGAGUUCUACAAGAAAUGUUGGCAUAUAAUUAAGGAUGACCUUAUGCCAAUGUUUCAUGACCAGUUUUGCAGGCGUUUAAAACUCUUUCAUCUGAAUUUUGGUACCACUAUGUUGUUAUGAAAGAAGGAGGGAGCGACGCGUAUUGAACAAUUUCAUCCUAUUUGCCUGCUUAAUGUUAGCUUCAAGAUUUUCACAAAGGUGGGAACUAAUAGGCUGACUAAGGUUGCCCAUUCGAUGGUACAAUCUACUCAGACAACCUUUAUGCCUCGACGUAACAUCCUAGAAGGGGUGGUGGUCCUACAUGAAACCUUGCAUGAGAUUCACUCGAAUAAACUAGAUGGAGUAAUCUUCAAGGUGGAUUUUGAAAAUGCAUACGAUAAAGUCAUAUGGUCUUUUCUAACAACAAACCUUACGUAUGAAGGGGUUUGACCAGCUUUGGCGGAAGCAUGUCGACUGUUUCAUAAAAAAGGAAGUGUCGGUACCAAAGUCAACGAUGAUGUGGGUCAUUUCUUUCAGACUCUGAAGGGUCUCAGACAAGGGGAUCCUAUGUCACCGAUUCUAUUCAAUAUUGUUGCGGAUAUGUUGGCUUUAAUGAUCAGGAGGGCCAGUGACAAAGAUCUAGUAGGGGGACUAGUACCGCAUCUAGUGGAUGGGGGUGUCUCAAUCCUACAGUAUGCGGAUGAUACGAUUAUCUUUACAGAGCAUGAUCUAGACAAAGCGAGAAACAUGAAACUCAUUUUAUGCUUAUUUGAACAGAUGUCUGGUUUGAAGAUUAACUUCAACAAUAGUGAAUUAUUCUGCUUUGGAAAGACCAAAGUUGAACAACACACUUACAACCAGCUGUUUGGUUGCGAGAGUGGGAACUUACCGUUUACCUAUUUAGGUAUUCCUAUUCACCACUGGAAGCUAAUAAAUAAGGAGUGGAAGUGUAUCGAAGAUGGAUUUGAACAAAACCUAAGUUGCUGGAAAGGCAAGCUUUUAUCCUAUGGAGAACACUUAGUACUUAUUAAUUCGGUAUUAACAAGUAUGCCCAUGUUCCUUCUUUCCUUUUUUGAGAUAUCGGUUGGGGUACGGAAAAGGUUGGAUUUCUAUCGGUCCCGUUUUUUCUGGCAGAGUGACGAAGUCAAGACAAAAUAUAGGCUUACUAAAUGGGACAUCAUAUGCAGACCAAGGGAGCAAGGGGGUUUAGGGAUUGAGAAUUUAGAGGUUAAAAACAAAUGUUUGCUAAGUAAAUGGUUGUUCAGAAUCUCAGUGGAAACGGAAGGUAUGUGGGUACAGAUUCUAAGUAAUAAGUACUUGCAAAACAAGACCUUAGCUCAGGCAACCGUUAGACCAAAUGACUCUCCUUUCUGGAAAGGAUUGAUGCGGUCUAAAAAUGCCUUUUUCCACUGGACUAGGUUUAUCAUUGGUAAUGGUGAAUCAACUAGAUUCUGGGAAGAUACAUGGCUAGGGGAAGCGCCCUUAGCCCUGCAAUAUCCGUAGUUAUACAAUAUUGUCCAACGUCGACAAGCGUCCGUUGCAAAAAUAUCGUGUGAGACACCUCUAAAUAUUCAGUUUCAUAGAUCCUUGAUUGGCGACAGAUGGGCCAGUUGGCUACACCUAGUCCGAAGGUUAAUGGUUAUCAAUCUCUCGGAUAUACCAGAUACUAUUCAAUGGAAGUUGACUAAGAAUGGAGCUUUUACUGUAAAAUCUAUGUAUCUUCAUCUCAUAGAUUUGGUGCCGAUCCCAAAAUCCAGGCAUAUAUGGAAGGUCAAAGUACCGUUGAGAAUAAAGAUCUUCAUGUGGUUUGUCCACAAAGGAAUUAUUCUAACGAAGGACAAUUUGCCAAGACGUAAUUGGAAAGGCAACCAAAGAUGCAACUUCUGCCAUAACAAAGAAGCUAUUAAGCACCUCUUUCUUGCUUGCCCUUUGGCUAAACUUCUAUGGUGUUCGAUUCACAUUGUCUUCAAUAUCAUCCCCCCUAACAGUAUUAACACGUUAUUUGGGACAUGGGUAAAGGGCGUUGAUGUUCAUUUGGCACAGCUUACUCGUGUGGGAACAUGUGCAUUGUUGUGGGGUAUAUGGAACUGCAGGAAUGAUUUAGUAUUUAACAGAUGCAACUCUAUCAAUUUUUUGCACGUUAUCUUCAGGGCUACUGCCUUGAUCCGCAUGUGGUUACUACUCACUCAUGCGGAAGCCAUGGAGCCUUUGGUUAGUGGGUGUGCCCGCUGGGAGAUGGUAGCUCGGGGUAUCUUCAACCAGUUUGGAUGGCGACACAAUAAUAUGAUAGGUGGCUAGUCAUCUAGAUCUAUUAUCAUAGCCGGUUGUGGCGCGUAUGGCUUUUUGUAUCUUUCAUUUGUUUUUUCUCAGAUUGAUAUACUAGGUUCGGACUCAUUUUACCUUAUUCAAUUAAAAGGCUGCAUGCAUCACUCGAUGCAGAGGCCGGGGUGAUGCCUCCUUUUUCUAAAAAAAUGAUGAGCUGGACUUUGCACAACAGAUGGAUAAAUUUUAGGUUACCGGCUUCUAGCAGCUGAAACUAAGGGUGUGUUUGGUUGAACUGCAGAAUCUAAAAAAGCUGCUGCGAAAAAGUUGUUGUGAAAAAAGUUAAAAGCCGAAAAAUUAGGGUACCUCAGCAUUGAAAUUUACAUUAUGAAGAAACUAUAGAUUCUCAAAAGCUGCUUUCAACAUUUACCUUUAUUUUAGAUUUUAGCUUUUCAAAAUAGAAGUUGGUAAAAAGAGCUAAACCAAACACAACCUAACUCUUGAAACAUGUUGUGGGAGCACUUGUCUUGCGUCUCUUUGGGUUGCAUCAGAUUUGUGCCGUUACAAAAAGGCUUAUAGUCGUGUCAUACCAGCUUGGCGCAACGUAAAUUCUCCCCUUCUUUCUAUCGUACAUACAUGCUACAUGUUCUUUCUUUCUUCUUGUGAGACGCAUACACAUUACAGUGCAUGUUCUUGUUCCUUCUUGAGGGAGGCAUAAAUAUUACUUACAUGUUAAAUACUAGUACAUGAUAGCAUUGAGAUAAUGUCUCAACUCUAGAGCAUAAAGAAAAUGCAUGUUAAUACUCUUCAUCAUCUCUUUGGCUUGGACUAAUAAGCUUGCACAUGCAACGCACGUCUAGCCAAACGCACAUUAUACUAUCAAAUAUUUGUAGUUCUACAAUAAUGUGAUAUGAUUUCAAUAUCUCACCUUUACUAAAUCAUCUAGGAAAAGUAGAGGCUUAUAUCUGACAAUAUUCUCGACACAACCAUUGUUUUUUUCGGGAUCAACACAACAAUUGUUGAUAUGGUUCAGAAAUAUGAUAAGAAAUAAAUGCACAAGCAUUAAUGUGAAACAUGACCAAGUUUGAAAGCAAGAUCCUUUGUCCCCGGUUUAUACUAUUUCUCACCUUCUCACCAUUCUUUUAAUACACAGUGAGACAAAACUUAUGCGUGUCUGCGAGAAAAAAAACACAUUGAAAUGUCAUUGUUAGUUUUUAAGGUCCUUUCAGCAUCAGGUCCUCACAUAUAAAGUUAUCUUAAUAAUCCCCAAAAGCUAUCCAAAAGAAAAAGGAAUUAUCUCACGGAAUAAAUGAAAAAUUGAAAGUGCGUUAUAUCGACUAGAGGGGGGUGAGUAGGAAAUUUUUAGAAUUUCAUCGCUGAGGAAAUUCCUUUUGAGGAAAUUCCUCACUAAUGACUAACUUAGAGCGGAAACAGUAAAGGAUCAAGACUGCAAGGUUUCACUACAGCAGUUUUUCAGGAUGAAGAGUGUGAAAACUGAUUGCACAGUAAGCACGCACGCAGAAAACAGGCAUGAAGAAUUUGGGGUUGAGGAAUUUCAGAGAAAGUCUUCAGCAAAUUCUUCAAGCAGUGCCAGUGAAAAUCAUCAACACAUAAUCUGAGGAAUAUAAACAGUUGAAGAGUUAGAACCCGUUUCACAGCGAAGACAGUAGUUGAUGACCCAGUUCCAACUACUGUGAUAGUUGUACAUCUGGUUUGGAGCGGCUUUGUAUUGAAACCAAAAGACACACAGUCCCGGGACACACAGUCCCUACCGUAUUCUCCUUGGGCUAAGAACACACAAUCCUCACUCAACACUCGUGGUAAGUCUUCAGGGCAGACUUCCAAACCCUCACAAACUUGGUCACCCGGCGAUCCACAAUUGACUGCUGGAUUGCUCUAGACCAUGACGCCUAACCGUUUGGAGGAUGCACAGUCCUCAAAGGUAAAAGGCUUCAGUCCCACACAGGAACAACUUCUUAGGUGAUGCUCAAUCACUUGGUUUUUGGUUUGUGGUUUGGUGUUUGGGGUAUUUCCUCACUGAUGAAUUACUCUCGAAGACUCUGAGGAAUUUGGGUUGCUCUUAUGACAAGUGUCAGUUUCUAACGGAGCAACCGACCAGCUGAUGGUUGUGGGGGCGGCUAUUUAUAGCCUGGGAGCAUCCCGACAUGAUUUGACAUUAAUGCCCUUAAAUAAUAUGACCGUUGGUGUGGAUAAGACCAAUGAUGUGGCGUGGCUAUCGAAACGGUCGGGACCCUCAACUGUGAGAGUCCUCAUGUCACUCAUAUUCCUCACUUGAGGCUUUUGGUAGGAUUAGGCUUGGGUUGAGCAUCAUGAGGAAAUUCAGUCCAAUGUGUUACCUCGACCCCCUUUAAGAGUACGGUGUUCCUAUUACUCAAGUGUGAAGAAAACAAAACAGAAAGAGUAAAUCUUCAUGCUUCAAAGUCUUCAGAAUGAUUUUCUUCAGGACACACCGAAUUCCUCAAUUUCAAUAUCUUCAUGAGGAAUAUUAAUUUCAACGCAAAUUCUUCGCGAUUCAAAUCUUCAGCUUCAGACCAAUUUCUUCAACCGAAGAUAUACAUUUUUAGGGGUCGAUAUUCAUCAAAUAUUUCAAACUGCUGAGAAACUUAUAGAUAAUGUGUACACUCAAGAACACAUUAGAUACUUAAACUAUAAGUCUUCAAACCACCAAAAUCACUAAGGGGCACUAGAUGCACUUACAAUCUCCCCCUUUUUGGUGGUUGAUGACAAUUAGGUUAAGUCUUCAACAGGGAUAAAAAUAUGAAGUGUAAAUACUCAUUUGAGGAAUUUGAAAUCAAGAUUCAAAGAGACUCCCCCUGAAGAUGUGCAUAUCUUGAGGAUUUUGCUUUUCUCAGCAAAUGCACAUUGAUGAUUUAUAUCAUGGAGAUCUCCCCCUGAGUCUUGUAAAUCAUGCAUACAUACGACAUAUAGUAUGAAGAAAUUGAGUAUGCAUGAUGACAAAUGGUAUAUGACGAAUUCCAGCAUGCGUGCAUUAAAAUUUUGAGGAAUAAGCAUGCGAAGAAAAACGUUCACAAGCGUCAGAGUACCAUCGGGUUUAAGUUACAACUCAUUACAUAAACACUUCGGAAGANNNNNNNNNNNNNNNNNNNNNNNNNNNNNNNNNNNNNNNNNNNNNNNNNNNNNNNNNNNNNNNNNNNNNNNNNNNNNNNNNNNNNNNNNNNNNNNNNNNNNNNNNNNNNNNNNNNNNNNNNNNNNNNNNNNNNNNNNNNNNNNNNNNGAAGAGCCAAGAGUUUGUAACUUAAAUAUAGUUCAUAAGCCCCAAAAUAUCCCGCGUGAAGACUAACUCUCAAGUUUCUCCCCCUUUGGCAUCAAGUGACAAAAAGGGACAAACUGAGGACUAACGCCCUUGAAGACUUUCACUCCUUGGCAGUUGAUGAAGACGCGUGAGGAUUCUUGGAAGCAGUCUUCUUCCUUGGACCGGUGGCAGUGUCUUGUUGUUCUUCAUCAGAUUCAGCAGUGCGGAAUGAAGAAAAAGAACUGCCUCAAGGUCUGGAACUGGAAUUGGCCUGAAUUUCUUCUUGGGUGGCCACGACCAGUCAAAGUCUCGCACAAACUCCAAUUCCUCAAGUUCUGUCAGAGUCUUUAGAUGAGAAAGUGUGGCCCAGGUGCGAUCAAAAACCUCAUGAAGAUAAUGAUGGUUAAGGUUCACAGCAUUCUGUGUUUCAUUGAGGGUUUUCACAAUGGCGCCGAACUGGCAUUUGACCCACUUGUGAUUACGAUCCACCUUCUGGUGAAGACUGAGAAGAAGCUCUCUAGUAUUCAGCACACGAGGAGCAACAUGACUUGGAGGAUGAGUCUCAGUGUUAUCCCAUGAAGAAUAAGCUUCGGGAUCUCNNNNNNNNNNNNNNNNNNNNNNNNNNNNNNNNNNNNNNNNNNNNNNNNNNNNNNNNNNNNNNNNNNNNNNNNNNNNNNNNNNNNNNNNNNNNNNNNNNNNCUAGAGGCUUACUAGGAACAGUAUUUUGUCUAUGUAUCCACACAAGUAUUGUGUUUCCAAUCAAUACAAUUAUAGCAUAGAUAAUAAACGAUUAUCAUGAACAAAGAAAUAUAAUAAUAACUAAUUUAUUAUUGCCUCUAGGGUAUAUUUCCAACAGUCUCACACUUGCACUAGAGUCAAUAAUCUAGUUCACAUCACCAUGUGAUUUCAACGAAUCCAACACCCAUAUAGUUCUCGGGUCUGAUCAUGUCUAGCUCGCGAGAAAGGUUUUAGUCAAUGGUUCUGAAACUUUCAGAUCCGUGUGUUCUUUACAAAUCUUUAUGUCACCUUAUAGAUGGUGCUACUACGUGCUAUUCGGAAAUACUCCAAAUAUCUACUCUACUAUACGAAUGAGUUUCACUACUCAUAGUUAUUCGGAUUAGUGUGAAAGCUUGCAUCGACGUAACCCUUUACGACGAACUCUUUAACCACCUCCAUAAUCGAGAAAAAUUCCUUAGUCCAUUAGUUACUAAGGAUAACUUUGACCGUUGAUCAGUGAUUUAAUCCUGAAUCACUCUGUGUACCUCUUAACAGACUUAUAGCAAGGCACACAUCAGGUGCGGUACUCAGCAUGGCAUACUUUAGAGUCUACGGCUAAGGCAUAGAAGACGACCUUCGUCUAUUCUCUUUAUUCUGCCGUGGUCGGGUUUUGAGUCUUACUCAAAUUCACACCUUACAACACGGUCAAGAACUCCUUCCUUGCUGAUCUAUUUUGAACUCCUUCAAAAACUUGUGAAGGCAUGCAUCUUGUUGAAACUUCUAUUAAGUGUUUCGAUCUAUCUCCACAGAUCUUGAUGCUCAACGUUCAAGUAGUGCAAUCCAGAUAUUCCUUUGAAAAACUCCUUUCAAACAACCUUUUAUGGUUUACAGAAAUUCUACAUUACUUGUGAUCCACAAUAUAUCAACCACAUAUACUUAUCAGAAAUUCUAUAGUGCUCCCACUCACUUCUUUGGAAAUACAAGUUUCACACAAACCUUGUAUAAACCCAAAAGCUUUGAUCAACUCAUCAAAGCAUAUAUUCCAACUCCGAGAUGCUUGCACCAGUCCAUAGAAGGAUUGCUGGAGCUUGCAUACUUGUUAGUAUCCUUAGGAUCGGUAAAACAUUCUGUUUGUAUAACAUACAAUCUUUCCUCAAGAAAACCGUCGAGGAAACAAUGUUUUGACUUCCUAUGUACAAUAUUUCACAAAUAAUGCAGCAACUACUAACAUAAUUCCAACAGACUUUUAGCAUCGCUACGAGUGAGAAAGUCACAUCAUAGUCAACUCUUUGAUCUUGUCGAAAACAUCUUUGCGACAAGUCGAGCUUUUCUUAAUAGUGACUUAUCACCAUCAUCGUUUGUCUUCCUUUUAAAGAUCCAUCUUUACUUGAUAGUCUUACUACCAUCAAGUAGCUCUUCCAAAGUCUACACUUUGUUUUAUACAUGGAUCAUCUCUCGGAUUUCAUGGCCUCCAGCCAUUUGUCGGAAUCCGGGCCCACCAUUGCUUCUCCAUAACUCAUAGGUUCAUUGUUGUUCAACACCAUGACCUCCAAGACACGGUUACCAUACCACUUUGUAGUAGUACGCGACCUUUGUCGACCUACGAGGUUUGUAGUAACUUGAUCCGAAGCUCUAAUGAUCACCAUCAUCAGCUUCCACUUCAAUUGGUGUAGGCGCCAUAGGAACAUCUUCCUGCGCCCUGCUACACAUUGAUUCAAGUGACGGUUCACUAACCUCAUCAAGUUCCACCACCCUCCCACUCAAUUCUUUCGAGAGAAACCUUUCCUCGAGAAAGGACCCUUUUUAUAGAAACGAACACUUUGCUUCCGGAUCUGAGAUAGGAGAUGUAUCCAACUGCUUUGGAUCUCCUAUGAAGAUGCAUUUAUCCGCUUUGGGUUCGAGCUUAUCAAACUGAAACUUUUUCAUAUAAGCAUCGCAGCCCCAAACUUUCAAGAAACGACAAGUUAGAUUUCUCUAAACCUCAGUCUAUACUGUGUCAUCUCAAUGGAAAUACACGGUGCCCUAUUUAAAGUGAAUGUGGUUGUCUCUAAUGCAUAACCCAUAAAUGAUAGUGGUAAUUCGAUAAGAGACAUCAUAGUAUGCACCAUAUCAAAUAGGGCGUGGCUAUGACGUUCAGACACAUCAUCACACUAUGGUGUUCCAGGUGGCAUGAACUGUGAAACAACUUCCACAUUGUCUUAACUGCGUACCAAAACUCGUAACUCAAAUAUUCAUCUCUAUGAUCAUAUCGUAGACAGUUUAUCCUCUUGUCAUGACGAUCUUCACUCUGAAAUAGCUUUGAACUUUUCAAUAUUUCAGACUUGUGAUUCAUCAAGUAAAUACUCAUGUAUCUACUCAACUCGUUAGUGAAGUAAGAACAUAACGAUAUCCACUACGUGCCUCAGCACUCAUUGGACUGCACACAUCAAAAAUGUAUUACUCCCAACAAGUUACUCUCUUGUUUCAUGUGGCAUGAUAUGCAUGUCUCAAGUGAUUCAAAAUCAAGUGAGUCCAAACGAUCCAUCCACAUGGAGUUUCUUCAUGCGUUUCAUACCAACAGGUAUGGUUUGCAUGUCUCAAACGUUUCAAAAAUGAGUGAGUACAAAGAUCCAUCAGCAUGGAGCUUCUUCAUGCAUUUUACACCAACAUGACUCAAGUGGCAGUGCCACAACUAAGUGGUACUAUCAUUAUUACUUUGUAUCUUUUGGCACUAAUAUUAUGAACAUGUGUAACACUACGAUCGAGUUUCAAUAAACCAUUGAGGGUAAUUAUUCAAGCAAAUAGAACAACUAUUAUUCUCUUUAAAUGAAUAAUCAUAUUGCAACAAACACGACCCAAUCAUGUUCAUGUUCAACGCAAACACCAAAUAACAAUUAUUUGGGUUUUACCACCAAUCCCGAUGAUAGAGGGAGCAUGCGACGUUUGAUCAUAUCAACCUUGGAAACACUUCCAACACGUAUCGUCACCUCGCCUUUAGCUAGUCUCCGUUUAUUCCGUAGCUUUUAUUUCGUGUUACUAAUCACUUAGCAACCGAACCGGCAUCCAAUACCCUCGCGCUACUAGGAGUACUAGUAAAUUACACAUCAACACCAUGUAUAUCAAAUAUACUUAUUUCGACUUUGCCAGCCUUCUUAUCUACCAAGCAUCUAGGGUAGCUCCGCCUAAGUGACCGUUCCCCUCUUAACAUAAGCACUUAGUCUCGGGUUCGGGUUUAAUCUUGGGUCUCUUCAUUUAUUGCAGCAACUGUUUUGCUGUUUCACGAAGUAUCCCUUCUAGCCCUUGCCUUUAUUGAAACUUAGUGGUUUUACUAACCAUCAACCAUUGAUGCUCCUUCUUGAUUUCUACUUUCGCAUUGUCAAACAUCGUGAAUCGCUCAAGGAUCAUUGUAUCUUUCCUUGAUAUGUUAUAGUUCAUCACGAAGCUCUAACAGCUUGGUGGAGUGACUUUGGAGAACCAUCACUAUCUCAUCUGGAAGAUUAACUCCCACCUGAUUCAAGCGAUUGUCUUACUGAGACAAUCUGAGCACACGCUCAACGAUUGAGCUUUUCUCCUUUUACUUCGUGGACAAAGAAUCUUGUCAGAGGUCUCAUACCUCUUAACAAGGGCACGAGCAUGAAAUCACAAUUUCAUCUCUUUAGAACAUCUCUUAUGUUCCGUGACGUUUCAAAACGUCUUCGGCGCCUUGCUUCUAAGCCAUUAAGUAUUUUGCACUGAACUAUCGCGUAGUCAUCAGAAACGUGUAUGUCGGAUGUUCACAACAUCCACAGACGACACUCGAGGUGCAGCACAUCGAGUGGUGCAUUAAGGACAUAAGCCUUCUGCGUAGCAACGAGGACAAUCCUCAGUUUUACAAACUCAGUCCGGAAAGUUUGCUACUAUCAACUUUCAACUAAAUUUUCUCUAGGAACAUAUAAAAAACGAUAGAGCUAUAGCGCAAGCUACAUCGUAAUUCGCAAAGACCAUUAGACUAUGUUCAGGAUAAUUAGUUCAAUUAAUCAUAUUACUUAAGAACUCCCACUCAAAAAGUACAUCUCUCUAGUCAUUUGAGUGGUACAUGAUCCAAAUCCACUAUCUCAAGUCCGAUCAUCACGUGAGUCGAGAAUAGUUUCAGUGGUAAGCAUCUCUAUGCUAAUCAUAUCAACUAUACGAUUCAUGCACGACCUUUCGGUCUCUUGUGUUCCGAGGCCAUGUCUGCACAUGCUAGGCUCGUCAAGUUUAACCCGAGUGUUCUGCGUGUGCAACUGUUUUGCACCCGUUUUAUGUGAAUGUUGAGUCUAUCACACCCGAUCAUCACGUGGUGUCUCGAAACGACGAACUGUAGCAACGGUGCACAGUCGGGGAGAACACAAUUUCGUCUUGAAAUUUUGGUGAGAGAUCACCUCAUAAUGCUACUGUCAUUCUAAGCAAAAUAAGGUGCAUAAAAGGAUUAACAUCACAUGCAAUUCAUAAGUGACAUGAUAUGGCCAUCAUCACGUGCUUCUUGAUCUCCAUCACCAAAGCACCGACAGGAUCUUUUGUCACCGGCGCCACGCCAUGAUCUCCAUCAACGUGUCUCCAUCGGGGUUGUCAUGCUACUCAUGCUAUUACUACUAAAGCUACAUCCUAGCAAUAUAGUAAACGCAUCUGCAAGCACAAACCUUAGUUUAAAGACAACCCUAUGACUCCUGCCGGUUGCCGUACCAUCGACGUGCAAGUCGAUAUUAACUAUUACAACAUGAUCAUCUCAUACAUCCAAUAUAUCACAUCAGACCGUUGGCCAUAUCACAUCAAAAGCAUACCCUGCAAAAACAAGUUAGACGUCCUCUAAUUGUUGUUGCAUGUGUUUACGUGGUGACCAUGGGUAUCUAGUAGGAUCGCAUCUUACUUACGCAAACACCACAACGGAGAUAUAUGAAUUGCUAUUUAACCUCAUCCAAGGACCUCCUCGGUCAAAUCCGAUUCAACUAAAGUUGGAGAAACCGACACUCGCCAGUCAUCUUUGAGCAACGGGGUUGCUCAUAGCGACGAAACCAGUCUCUCGUAAGCGUACGAGUAAUGUCGGUCCGAGCCGCUUCGAUCCAACAAUACCGCGGAAUGAAGAAAAGACUAAGGAGGGCAGCAAAUCGCACAUCACCACCCACAAAAAAUUUUGUGUUCUACUCGAGAUGACAUCUAUGCAUGAACCUAGCUCAUGAUGCCACUAUUGGGGAACGUCGCAUGGGAAACAAAAAAUUUCCUACGCGCACGAAGACCUAUCAUGGUGAUGUCCAUCUAAGAGAGGGGAUUUCCGAUCUACGUACCCUUCUAGAUCGCACAGCAGGAAGCGUUAAGAAACAUGGUUGAUGUAGUGGAACGUCCUCACAUCCCUCGAUCCGCCCCGCGAACCGUCCCACGAACCGUCCCGCGAUCCGUCCCAUGAUCCGCUCCGAUCUAGUGCCGAACGGACGGCACCUCCGCGUUCAGCACACGUACAGCUCGACAAUGAUCUCCGCCUUCUUGAUCCAUCAAGAGAGACAGAGAGGUAGAUGAGUUCUCCGGCAGCGUGACAGCGCUCCGGAGGUUGGUGAUGAUCUAUCUCAGCAGGGCUCCGCGCGAGCUCCGCAGAAAUACGAUCUAGAGGAAAACCGUGGAGGUAUGUGGUCGGGCUGUCGUGGUAAAGUUGUCUCAAAACAGCCCUAAUACCUCCGUAUAUAUAGGAGGGAGGGGAGGGGCCUUGCCUUCAGGCUCAAGGAGCCCCAAGGGGGUCGGUCGAAGGGGGGGAGGAGGAAUCCUCGUCCAAUCCUAGUCCAACUAGGAUUGGAAGGUGGAGUCCUUCCCUUCCUUCCCACUUCCCUUUUUUUUCUCUUUGUUUUUGUUUUAUCCUGCGCACGGGACUUCUUGGGCUUGCCCACCAGCCCACUAAGGGCUAGUGCAGCACCCCUAUGCCUAUGGGCUUCCCCGGGUGGGCUGCCCCCCGGUGAACAUUCGGAACCCAUUCGUCACUCCCGGUACAUUCCCGGUAAUGCCGAAAACUUUUCGGUAAUCAAAUGAGGCCAUCCUAUAUAUCAAUCUUCGUCUCCGGACCAUUCUGGAAACCCUCGUGACGUCUGUGAUCUCAUCUGGGACUCCGAACAACAUUCGGUAACCAACCAUAUAACUCAAAUACGCAUAAACCAACGUCGAACCUUAAGUGUGCAGACCCUGCGGGUUCGAGAACUAUGAAGACAUGACCCGAGGGACUCCUCGGUCAAUAUCCAAUAGCGGGACCUGGAUGCCCAUAUUGGAUCCUACAUAUUCUACGAAGAUCUUAUCGUUUGAACCUCAGUGCCAAGGAUUCAUAUAAUCCCGUAUGUCAUUCCCUUUGUCCUUUGGUAUGUUACUUGCCCGAGAUUCGAUCGUUAGUAUCCGCAUACCUAUUUCAAUCUCGUUUACCGGCAAGUCUCUUUACUCGUUCCGUAAUACAAGAUCCCGCAACUUACACUAAGUUACAUUGCUUGCAAGGCUUGUGUGUGAUGUUGUAUUACCGAGUGGGCCCUGAGAUACCUCUCCGUCACACGGAGUGACAAAUCCCAGUCUUGAUCCAUACUAACUCAACGGACACCUUCGGAGAUACCUGUAGAUCAUCUUUAUAGUCACCCAGUUAUGUUGUGAUGUUUGAUACACACAAGGUAUUCCUCCGGUGCCAGUGAGUUAUAUGAUCUCACGGUCAUAGGAAUAAAUACUUGACACGCAGAAAAACAGUAGCAACAAAAUGANNNNNNNNNNNNNNNNNNNNNNNNNNNNNNNNNNNNNNNNNNNNNNNNNNNNNNNNNNNNNNNNNNNNNNNNNNNNNNNNNNNNNNNNNNNNNNNNNNNNUAAUGAAUAGCAUCAACGAUCUGAACAUAAACUCUUCCACCAAGUAAUCCAACUAGCAUCAACUACAAAGAGUAAUCAACACUACUAGCAACCUUACAAGUGCCAAUCGGAGUCGCGAGACGGAGAUUGGUUACAAGAGAUGAACUAGGGUUUGGAGAGGAGAUGGUGCUGAUGAAUAUGUUGAUGGAGAUGACUCCCCUCCGAUGAGAGGAGUGUUGGUGAUGACGAUGGCGAUGAUUUCCCCCUCCGUGAGGGAAGUUUCCCCGACAGGAUCGUCCUGCCGGAGCUCUAGAUUGGAUCUGCUCAAGUUCUGCCUCGUGGCGGCGGAGAAUCCACGAAAAAGCUCCACCCUGAUUUUUUCCGGACGAAACCCUUCAUAUAGCAAAAGAGGGGGGUGAUGACCCACAAGUAUAGGGGAUCAAUCGUAGUCCUUUCGAUAAGUAAGCGUGUCGAACCCAACGAGGAGCAAAAGGCUCUGAUAAACAGUUUUCAGCAAGGUAAUAACUACAAGCACUGAAAGUAGCGGUAACAAGUGAUGGUGUAGUGAGGUGAAACGUAGCAAGCGAAAAGUAACAAGUAACAAGUAGUAGCAAUGGUGCAGCAAGUGGCCCAAUCCCUUUUGCGGCAAGGGACAAGCUUGAACAAAGUCUUAUAGGAGGAAAAACGCUCCCAAGGACACACGGGAAUUUCUGUCAUGCUAGUUUCAUCAUGUUCAUAUGAUUCGCGUUCGUUACUUUGAUAGUUUGAUAUGUGGGUGGACCGGCGCUUGGGUACUGCCCUUACAUGGACAAGCAUCCCACUUAUGAUUAACCUCUCUCGCAAGCAUCCGCAACUACAAAAGAAGAAUUAAGACAACGUCUAACCAUAACAUUAAACUAGUUGAUCCAAAUUAGCCCCUUAGGAAGGAGCGCAUAGACUGGGGUUUAAGCUUGUGUCACUCCAGCAACCCAUCAUCUACUUACUAUUCCCCAAUGCCGUCCUCUAGGCCCAAGUAUGGUGAAGUUUUAUGUAGUCGACAUUCACAUAACACCACUAGAGGAAAAUACAACGUACAUCAUAUCAAAAUACCGAACGAAUAUCAAAUUCACAUGACUAUUAUUAACAUGACUUAUCCCAUGUCCUCAGGAACAAAAGUAACUACUCACAAAGCAUAAUCAUAAUCAUGAUCAGAGGUGUAAUGAAUAGCAUCAAGGAUCUGAACAUAAACUCUACCACCAAGGAAUCCAACUAGCAUCAACUACAAAGAGUAAUCAACACUACUAGUAAUCUUACAAGUACCAAUCGGAGUCGCGAGACGCAGAUUAGAUACAAGAGAUGAACUAGGGAUUGGAGAGGAUAUGGUGCUGAUGAAGAUGCCUCCCCUCCGACGAGAGGAGUGUUGGUGAUGACGAUGCGAUGAUUUCCCCCUCCGGGAGGGAAGUUUCCCCGGCAGGAUCGUCCUGCCGGAGCUCUAGAUUGGAUCUGCUCAAGUUCCGCCUCGUGGCGGCGGCAAAACCACGAAAAAGCUCCCGAUUGAUUUUUUCUGGAACGAAACCCUUAGCAAAAGAGGGGGGCCAGUGGGCCGUCAGGGAGCCCACAAGCUUGCUAGCCGCCACCAGGUGUGUGGCGGCUACCAGGCUCGUGGCGCCCUGGUAGCUCCCCUCUGGUACUUCUAUCGCCCUGUAUUUUUUAUAUAAUCCCAAAAAAUUCCGCGUAACUUUUCACGGCAUUUGGAGAUGUGCAGAAUAGUGGACUAAGAUUUUCUCUUUUUCUAGUCUAGAAUUCCAGCAGCCUGAAUUCUCCCUCUUCAAAUAAACCUUGCAAAAUAAGAGAGAAAAGGCAUAAAUAUGGUACCACAAAGUAAUAUAACAGCCCAUAAAGCAAUAAAUAUCAACAUGAAAGCAUGAUGCAAAAUGGACGUAUCAACUCCCCCAAGCUUAGACCUCGCUUGUCCUCAAGCGAAAACCAAGUUCCAUAAACAUGUCCACAUGUUGAGGGACGAAGGUGUCGAUAAAACAUAAUACGGACAUGAGGGCAUCAUGAUCACACAUAGAACGACAAUACAUCAUAAAGAUUCUUAUGGGAAAGUAACAAUUCCUUCACAAAGCACAGUAUGAAGGAAAAACCUUACCGAGAAGUAACCAACAACAGUCCAUAGUCAUUGAAGCAAUUGCAAUUUAUCAUAACAUCAGAAAGAGUCAAAUAAGAGCUUGUAAGGCAAACCGACAUACUCAAUCAUCUCUUUUGUUUUCCAUAAUUGUUAGAACUCACAUGGUACUCAUGGUGUCAAAGUUUCAGCUGGACACAAAGGAAGAUAUGGGCUUAUAGUUUUGCCUCCCAACGAUUUACCUCAAGGGUAAAGUCAAUAAUAAUAAAGCAUAAGUACUCAACUCCAAGUUGAUAUAUGAAUAUAGAUCUUUCCCAAGCAUGUGACGGUAGCCAAGACAAAGGCAAAAAUAGGGAAUUGGUGAAGAUCACCAUGACUCUUAGAAGGGCAAAAAGUAAAGGUACAAGAUAGGCCCUUCGCAGAGGGAAGCAGAGGUUGUCAUGCGCUUUUGAAGUUUGAAUGUGUGCCCUCUUAGUGCGGAGGAACGUCACUUUAUAUUGCCUCCUGUGAUAAAGAACUUUAUUAUGUAGUCUGUCGCUUUUAUGUCUUCCUCAUCACAGGUUCGUACAAAGCUUAUUUUCCACACACUAAUAGAUCAUACAUAUUAGAGAGAAAAUUUUAUUGCUUGCACCGAUGACAACUUACUUGAAGGAUCUUAUUCAAUCUAUAGGUAGGUAUGGUGGACUCUCAUGGCAAAACUGGGUUGAAGGUUUAUGGAUGCACAAGUAGUAUCUCUACUUGGUGCGAGAGUUUUGGCUAAUAUGAGGUGGAAGCAAUCGUCACAUGCUAAGGGAUCUCUAAUCAUAUAACAUUGUUUGGAACCAAGCAAACACAAUUCAUUAUGUUGUCUUCCUUGUCCAACAUCUACUCCUAAGCAUGUAAUAGUUUCGUGAGUGCUCACAAUUGUAAAAAGUGUCUAAGAUGAUAUAUUUAUAUGUGAACCUCUCUUUCCUUAUUACUUCUUAUUAUUUGCAACAAUGACUGAGGUCUAUGUUGAUUUAUUCUCAACAAGUUUCAAUCAUCAUACGUGUCAUAUGUGAAGCUAUCACUUUCCAUAAGAUCGUCUCAUGAUCUUUCAUGCUAUCGUUCUUUUCAUACUUUUGAUCACGACACAAAGCAAAGCCCUUGACUAAGAUACUCUUUAUUAUAUAGCUCGUAAGCUUGAAUACAUCGGGGGAGAGACAAAAGCAAAAGUCUCAAACUGAACACUAAAGACUUAUUCCUCUAAGAGAAGAAAUAAAAACAGAAAAGGAAAGAACUAAAACAAAGAUAAAAUCAAAAGAUAUAAAGGUGAUACGACACCAGGGAAACUCCCCCAAGCUUGGCAGAAGCCAAGGGGAUUGCCCAUACCAAUGCUUAGUUGUCUUCCUUUGGUGGUGAAGGUGGUGGAGUUGUUGAAGUAGUCUAAUCCUCCGUCUUCCAAGGCAUAGGUGCUCCAUCAUGGCAGGUGAAUGAGUCGCCGGAAUCCUCAAAUCUGCAGCCAACCUUAUUGAUUUAAAUCUGUACUCAUACUCACAGUUUUGGUUCUGCAGGUCAUAGAUCUGGCCCUGAAGUUGAUCAACCCUGUCAUAGAGCAUGGAGAGGUGUUUCCCAAUGUCAAUGACAUCCAUCUUGUGCUUGCUAGUGAACUCCGUGAUCAUCAUGUGGUUGGCGUUGAGUCCAUGCUCCACCAUCGCUUGGCACUUGAAGACUUGUUGCUCCAUUGCUUCGAGCCUCGUCUCCAUGCUUCCGGUCUUCUUAGGCCCCUCAACAUCGAGGAUAUGCAACAUCCCCUUGCUCAUCUUGAUAGAUUGAGGGUGUUUCAGCACUUCCGUGAGGUAGGGAUUGAUGACCUUCUCGAAGAUCUUGUCCUUAGGAGCGUUUGGGGAAGUCAUGAUGAUCUAGAUCUGCCACAGAAACAAGCUCGAAACGAAAACAGAGGAAUAUUGCGUGAUACGGAGAUCAAAACCUUCGGGCGAAUAUAUAUUGAUUUUUUCUGGACCAGAAGGAGUGCAUCGCAAAAAACGGAGUCCGGGAGGCACACGAGGUGCCCACAAGCCCCCGAGCCGCCACCAGGGGGGAGGUGGCGGCUUCCAAGAUUGUGGUCGCCUCAUGCGCUCUCCGGACUGCUUUUUAUUUUUCUAAUUUUCCAAAAAUUCCAAAACUGAGGAAAUUUCCUAUUGGAAAAGCAUCGGAGUCCAAUUUCUUACCGAAACAGAUACCUCUUCGUUUUCACGGUCUGAAACAGGCUGAUAAACAUCCCUUAUGUACUCCUCUGGAGUUUUGACAUUGAUGAUAUUGGUCUCAACAUUUAUGGGAGUACCAGAGAUAUAAUGCUUGAUUCUUUGCCCAUUUACCACUCUAGGAAAAUUUCCUUCUGUGUUAUUGAUUUUGAUGGCACAGGAACGAUAUACUUCCUCGAUAAUGUAAGGACCUUCCCAUUUAGAGAGAAGCUUGCGUGAGAAGAAUCUUAAACGAGAAUUGUAUAGCAGGACAUAAUCACCUACAUUGAACUCCCGUUUCUGUAUUCGUUUGUCAUGCCAUCUCUUAACCUUUUGCUUGAACAACUUGGCGUUCUCAUAUGCCUGGGCCCUCCAUUCAUCUAAUGAGCUCAUAUCAAACAACCGCUUCUCACCGGCAAGUUUGAAAUCAAAGUUGAGCUCUUUGAUUUCCCAAUAAGCUUUGUGUUCCAGCUCAAGAGGUAAAUGACACGCCUUACCAUAAACCAUUUUAUACGGCGACAUGCCCAUAGGAUUCUUAUAGGCAGUCCUAUAAGCCCAUAGUACAUCGUCAAGUUUACUAGACCAAUUCUUUCGAGAUCUAUUGACGGUCUUUUGUAGGAUCAAUUUGAUCUCCCUAUUACUCAACUCCACUUGACCACUAGACCGAGGGUGAUAAGGAGAUGCAACUCUAUGGUUGACAUCAUACUUAGCGAGCAUCUUGCGGAAAACACCAUGAAUGAAGUGUGAACCGCCAUCAGUCAUCAAAUAUCUAAGGACUCCAAAUCUUGGUAAAAUGACUUCUUUAAGCAUCUUAAUAGAGGUGUGGUGAUGAACAUUUUUAGUGGGGAUAGCUUCUACCCACUUGGUGACAUAAUCCACGGCAACUAAGAUGUGAGUGUACCCAUUGGAACUCGGGAAGGGUCCCAUAUAAUCAAAGCCCCAGACAUCAAAUGGUUCAACGACAAGUGAAUAGUUCAUAGGCAUUUCCUGGCGUUUACUAAUGUUCCCUAUUCUUUGGCAUUCGUCGCAAGACAAGACAAACUNNNNNNNNNNNNNNNNNNNNNNNNNNNNNNNNNNNNNNNNNNNNNNNNNNNNNNNNNNNNNNNNNNNNNNNNNNNNNNNNNNNNNNNNNNNNNNNNNNNNUCCGGAAUGGUCCGGAGACGAAGAUUGAUAUAUAGGAUGACCUCAUUUGAUUACCGGAAAGUUUUUGGCAUUACCGGGAAUGUACCGGGAGUGACGAAUGGGUUCCGGAUGUUCACCGGGGGGGGGGGGCAGCCCACCCGGGGAAGCCCAUAGGCCUUAGGGGUGCUGCACCAGCCCUUAGUGGGCUGGUGGGAAAGCCUAAGAAGUCCCGUGCGCAGGAUAAAAGAAAAUCAAAGAGAAAAAAAAGGGGAAGUGGGAAGGAAGGGAAGGACUCCACCUUCCAAUCCUAGUUGGACUAGGAUUGGAGGAGGAUUCCUCCUCCCCCCUUCAGCCGACCCCCUUGGGGCUCCUUGAGCCUCGAGGCAAGGCCCCUCCCCUCCCUCCUAUAUAUACGGAGGUAUUAGGGCUGAUUUGAGACAACUUUGCCACGGGAGCCCGACCACAUACCUCCACGGUUUUUCCUCUAGAUCGUAUUUCUGCGGAGCUCGGGCGGAGCCCUGCUGAGAUUGAUCAUCACGAACCUCUGAAGCGCCGUCACGCUGCCGGAGAACUCAUCUACCUCUCCGUAUCUCUUGCUUGAUCAAGAAGGCCGAGAUCAUCGUCGAGCUAUACGUGUGCUGAACUCGGAGGUGCCGGCCGUUCGACACUAGAUCGGAGCGGAUCAUGGGACGGAUCGCGGGAUGGUUCGUGGGACGGUUUGCGGGGCGGAUCGAGGGACAUGAGGACGUUCCACUACAUCAACCGCGUUUCUUAACGCUUCCUGCUGUGCGAUCUACAAGGGUACAUAGAUCGGAAAUCCCCUCUCGUAGAUGGACAUCACCAUGAUAGGUCUUCGUGCGCGUAGGAAAUUUUUUGUUUCCCAUGCGACAUUCCCCAACAUGAUGCUCCUGCUGGGUUAUCUGACUCACUUCAUGGUUUCGAGGUGGUUUGUUUCACUGGAUCCUCAUAUGUUACUCUGACUUCCAUCCGUUCAUGUCUGUUGACUUGACUGAGAGAGGUUUUGGCAGAAAGAUCUUGUUCACGGCAUGCUAUCCUUUGACUGAUUCCCAUAUGUGAGGACACAUGCUCCGAGGUUGUCGUCCAACAUUCUGGUCGUUCCGUUUGUCGGCACCUUUAAAUGAAUAGUAGGUCGUGUAAUGCUUUAACACUAUUGCUGCAAUCGAACUGCUGAGUCUUCCUCACAGAUUUGAAUAUCCCUUUCUGACGAUUCUGAGCGUAUCUGGUUGGGUUGAGUGGGUUGACUCUAUAUAGGGUCCUUGCAAAUGGAAUAGACCCCAUGGGUGUGUACCCACGGUGAUUGGUAUCGAACCAGACUAUAUUGAGUAUGUGUACCAUGUUGAUCUUGCAACCCUUAUCAUACAUGUAUGGCCAAUCUUGCUCCUUCAUUAUGGUUCUCUUUGCCUGGAUCCUUAGUUGAAAGAGCUUGGUCUGAUGUGUUCUUUAUUCCUUGGAUGGCCAUGGGUGCUGCCACGUGAUGACCCACAAGUAUAGGGGAUCAAUCGUAGUCCUUUCGAUAAGUAAGAGUGUCGAACCCAGCGAGGAGCAGAAGGAUCUGACAAGUGGUUUUCAGCAAGGUAAUAACUGCAAGCACUGAAAUUAGCGGUAACAAGUGAUGGUGUGGUGAGGUGAAAUGUAGCAGGUGAAAAGUAACAAGUAAUAGCAACGGUGCAGAAAAGUGGCCCAAUCCCUAUUGUAGCAAGGGACAAGCCUGAACAAAGUCUUACAAGAAGAAAAACGCUCCCAAGGACACAUGGGAAUUUCUGUCAUGCUAGUUUCAUCAUGUUCAUAUGAUUCACGUUCGUUACUUUGAUAGUUUGGUAUGUGGGUGGACCGGCGCUUGGGUACUGCCCUUACUUGGACAAGCAUCCCACUUAUGAUUAACCCCUCUCGCAAGCAUCCGCAACUACGAACGAAGAAUUAAGACAGCGUCUAACCAUAGCAUUAAACUAGUGGAUCCAAAUCAGCCCCUUACGAAGCAACACAUAGUCUGGGGUUUAAGCUUCUGUCACUCUAGCAACCCAUCAUCUACUUACUACUCCCCAAUGCCUUCCUCUAGGCCCAAAUAUGGUGAAGUGUUAUGUAGUCGACGUUCACAUAACACCACUAGAGGAAAAGACAACAUACAUCAUAUCAAAAUACCGAACGAAUACCAAAUUCACAUGACUAUUAAUAGCAAGACUUAUCCCAUGUCCUCAGGAACAAAAGUAACUACUCACAAAGCAUGGAUAUAUUCAUGACCAGAGAAGUAACGAAUAUCAUAAUGGAUCUGAACAUAUAAUAUUCCACCAAGUAAACCAACUAGCAUCAACUACAAAGAGUAAUCAACACUACUAGCAACCUUACGGGUACCAAUCGGCAUCGUGAGACGGCGAUUGGUUACAAGAGAUAGACUAGGGUUUGUAUAGGAGAUGGUGCUGAUGAAGAUGUUGAUGGAGAUGACUCCCCUCCGGCGAGAGGAGUGUUGGUGAUGACGAUGGCGACGAUUUCCCCCUCCGGGAGGGAAGUUUCCCCAGCAGGAUCGUCCUGCCGGAGCUCUAGAUUAGUUCUGCUCAAAUUCCGCCUCGUGGCGGCGGCGCCUCCUCGAAAAAGCUCCGCCCUGAUUUUUUUCUGGACGAAACCCUUCAUAUAGCAGAAGAGGGGGGCGAGUGGGCCACCAGGGUGCCCACAAGCCCUGUAGCCGCGGCCAGGGGGGCAGGCCGCGAGAACCAGGCUUGUGGGCCCCUGGCAGCUCCCCUCUGGGACUUCUUUCGCCCAGUAUUUUUUAUAUAUAUUCCCAAAAAAUUCCACGUUGAUUUUCAGGGCAUUUGGAGUUGCGCAGAAUAGAGGACUCAGAGUUGCUACUUUUCCAGUCCAGAAUUCUAGCUGCUGGUAUUCUCCCUCUUCAAAUAAACCUUGAAAAUAAGAGAGAAAAGACAUAAGUAUGGUACCACAAAGUAUAAUAACAGUCCAUAAAGCGAUAAAUAUCAACAUGAAAGCAUGAUGCAAAAUGGACGUAUCAACUCCCCCAAGCUUAGACCUUGCUUGUCCUCAAGCGAAAACCAAGAUCCAUAAACAUGUCCACAUGUUUAGGGAUGAAGGUGUCGAUAAAACAUAAUAUGUACAUGAGGGCAUCAUGAUCACACAUAUAACAACAAUACAUCAUAAAGGUUCUUAUGGGAAAGUAACAAUCCCUUCACAAAGCAAAGUAUGAAUCAAAAACCUUACCGAGAAGUAGCCAACAACAGUCCAUAGUCAUUGAAGCAAUUGCAAUUUAUCAUAACAUGAGAAAGAGUGAAAUAAGAGCUUGUAAAGCAAAUCCACAUACUCAAUCAUAUCUUUUGUUUUCCACAAUUGUUACAACUCACGUGGUACUCAUGGUAUCAAAGUUUCAGUUGGACACAGCGAAAGAUAGGGGCUUAUAAUUUUGCCUCCCAACCAUUUACCUCAAGGGUAAAUUCAACAAUAAUAAAGCAUAAGUACUCAUCUCCAAGUUGAUAUAUGAAUAUAGAUCUUUCCCAAGCAUGUGACGGUAGCCAAGACAAAGGCAAAAAUAGGGAAUUGGUGANNNNNNNNNNNNNNNNNNNNNNNNNNNNNNNNNNNNNNNNNNNNNNNNNNNNNNNNNNNNNNNNNNNNNNNNNNNNNNNNNNNNNNNNNNNNNNNNNNNNAGUUUGUCUUGUCUUGUGACGAAUGCCAAAGAAUAUGGAACAUUAGUAAACGUCAGGAAAUGCCUAUGAACUAUUCACUUGUCACUGAACCAUUUGAUGUCUGGGGCUUUGAUUAUAUGGGACCCUUCCCGAGUUCCAAUGGGUAUACUCACAUCUUAGUUGCUAUUGAUUACGUCACUAAGUGGGUAGAAGCUAUCCCCACUAGAAAUGCUGAUCACCACACCUCUAUUAAGAUGCUUAAAAAAGUCAUUUUCCCAAGAUUUGGAGUCCCUAGAUAUCUAAUGACUAAUGGCGGUUCACACUUCAUUCAUGGUGUUUUCUGCAAGAUGCUCGCUAAGUAUGAUGUCAACCAUAGAGUUGUUUUUCCUUAUCAUCCUUAGUCUAGUGGUCAAGUGGAGUUGAGUAAUAGGAAGAUCAAAUUGAUCUUACAAAAUGCUGUCAAUAGAUCUCGAAAAAAUUGGUCUAGCAAACUUGACGAUGCACUAUGGGCUUAUAGGACUGCUUAUAAGAAUCCCAUUGGCAUGUCGCCAUAUAAAAUGGUUUACGGUAAGGCCUAUCAUUUACCUCUUGAGCUAGAACACAAAGCUUAUUAGGCAAUCAAAGAGCUCAACUUCGAUUUCAAACUUGCCGGUGAGAAGCGGUUGUUUGAUAUCAACUCAUUAGAUGAAUGGAGGGCCCAGGCAUAUGAGAAUGCCAAGUUGUUCAAGGAAAAGGUUAAGAGAUGGCAUGAUAAAAGAAUACAAAAACGUGAGUUCAAUGUAGGUAAUUAUGUCCUGCUAUACAAUUCUCGCUUAAGAUUCUUCGCAGGCAAGCUUCUCUCUAAAUGGGAAGGUCCCAACGUUGUCGAGGAAGUAUAUCGUUCCGGUGCCAAAAAAAUCAAUAACACGCAAGGUAAUUUUCCUAGAGUGGUAAAUGGGAAAAGAAUCAAGCACUAUAUCUCUGGUACUCCCAUAAAUGUUGAGAGCAAUAUCAUCAAUAUCAUAACUCGAGAGGAGUACAUAAGGGAUGUUUAUCAGCCUAUUUCAGACUCUGAAAACGAAGGGGUAUGUGUUUCGGUAAGUAAUUGGACUCCAAAACUUUUCCAGUAGGAAAUUUUCUCCGUUCUGGAAUUUAUGGAAAAAUAGAAAAAUAAAAAGCAGUCCGGAGAGCGCACAAGGCGGCCACAAGCUUGGUAGCCGUGGCCUCCCCCCGGCCGCGACUACAGGGCUUGUGGGCACCUCGUGUGCCUCCCAGACUCCGUUUUCUUGCGGAGCACUCCUUCUGGUCCAGAAAAAAAAUCAUUAUAUAUACGCCCGAGGGUUUUGAUCUCCGUAUCGCGCAGUUUUACUCUAUUUUCGUUUUGAGCCUGUUGUCCGCCGCAGAUUUAGAGCAAAGAUGUCUCAGGAAUCUGUUGGGGUGAAUAAUCUCCCUCAAGUUCAUGAAGAAGUAGAUGUUGAUCUAAAAAGAGUAGAAGUCACGGAAGCCAGGGACAAAGCUAAGGAGAAAACCCAAGCUAGGGAGGAAGUUCAAACUAUGUUCAACAUUGAAGACAUUGAAGGAGUGGAUUUUCUCCAACCCUUCCUCCACAUGUUGUCUCCAUCCUUGAUUGAACUCUUGAGGUUUUGUGAAACAACUCAUGCUCGCAAUAUUUCCCUUUCUCGUGAAGUUGUUUUGCUAGAGAAUCAUGUCGCAGAUCUCCGAGGUAUAAAUCAAAGAUUGAUAGCUCUCUUGGAAUCAAAGGCAAAGACUCUGCCACCAUCACCACCAAAGGAAGACAACUAAGCAUUGGUAUGGGAAACUCCCUUGGCUUAUGCCAAGCUUGGGGGAGUUACCCUGGUAUCGCAUCACCUUUAUAUCUUUUGCUUUUACCUUUGUUUUAGUUCUUUCCUUUUUAGUUUUUAUUUCUUCUCUUAGUGGGAUAAGUCUUCAGUGUUUAGUUUGAUUCUUUUGCCUUGUGUCUCCCCCGAUGUAUUCGAGCUUGCGAGCUAUAUAAUAAAGAGUAUGAGAUGAUCUUAUGGAAAGUGAUAGCUUCACAUAUAACAAGUAUGAUGAUUGAAACUUGUUGAGAAUAGACCAACAUAGACCCCAGUCAUUGUUGCAAUUAAUAAGAAGUAAUAAGGAAAGAGAGGUUCACAUAUAAAUAUAUCAUCUUAGACACUUUCUAUAAUUGUGAGCACUCACCAAACUAUUACAUGCUUAGAAGUAGAUGUUGGACAAGGAAGACAACAUAAUGAAUUGUGUUUGCUUGGUUCCAAACAAUGUUAUAUGUCUAGAGAUCCCUUAGCAUGUGACGAUUGCUUCCACCUCAUAUUAGCCAAAACUUCCGUACUAAGUAGAAAUACUACUUGUGAAUCCAUAAACCUUCAACCCAGUUUUGCCACGAGAGUCCACCAUACCUACCUAUGGAUUGCGUAAGAUCCUUCAAGUANNNNNNNNNNNNNNNNNNNNNNNNNNNNNNNNNNNNNNNNNNNNNNNNNNNNNNNNNNNNNNNNNNNNNNNNNNNNNNNNNNNNNNNNNNNNNNNNNNNNAGAAACCUGAUUGCAAAUUGCAAUAACUUAUGGGCAGUUCUAUCUCCAGCGUGGUGUCCUCCGUAGGCUUCGGAACGACACUUCUGCAAGAUUUGUUCCUGAUCAUGUUCAGGCACACAACGUCUAAUAACACCAUCUACUCCUUCCUUAUAAAGGUGAGGAUCAUCCCAAAAGUAGUGUCUCAAAUCAAAGAAGAACUUCUUCUUUUGCUGAUAGGUGAAACUGAGUGGUAUGUAUUUGGCUACGAUAUAGUUCGCGUAAUCAGCACACCACGGUGCACUAUGUGAAGUGCGGAUGACAUUCAAUUGCUCAUCAGGAAAGCUGUCAUCAAUAGGUCGUGGGUCAUCAAGGACAUUCUCUAGCCUGGACAAGUUAUCUGGCACACGGUUAUCAUCACCCUUUCGAUCAACGACGUGCAAAUCAAAUUCCUGUAGCAGGAGAACCCAUCUGAUCAGCCUAGGCUUAGCAUCCUUCUUCUCCAUAAGGUACUUAAUAGCAGCAUGAUCAGAGUGAAUAGUGACUUUGGAAUCAACUAUAUAAGAUCUGAACUAUUCACAUGCAAACACAACUUCUAAAAACUCCUUUUCCGUAGUGACAUAGUUUCUUUGGGCACUGUCUAGAGUUUUACUAGCGUAGUGAAUAACAUUCAACUUCUUGUCAACUCUUUGUCCUAGAACAACACCAACAGCAUAAUCACUAGCGUCGCACAUGAUUUCAAAGGGCAAGUUCCACUCAGGUGGUUGAACAAUAGGUGCGGUUAUCAAAGCCUUCUUAAGUAUUUCGAAAGCUUCCUCACAAUCCUCAUCAAAAACAAAAGGAACAUCCUUCUGCAAGAGGUUGGUAAGAGGCCUAGAAAUCUUAGAGAAUUCUUUAAUGAACCUUCUAUAGAAACCAGCAUGACCUAGGAAACUUCGUAUACCUCUGAUAUCUGUGGGGCAAGGCAUUUUCUCAAUUGCAUCAACCUUAGCCUUAUCAACUUCAAUGCCUCUUUCAGAGAUUAUGUGUCCUAAGACGAUGCAUUCAUUAACCAUAAAAUGGCACUUCUCCCAAUUCAAGACGAGGUUGUUAUCUUCGCAUCUCUGUAAGACUCGAUCAAGGUUGCUGAGGCAAUCAUCAAAAGAAGACCCGUAAACAGAGAAGUCAUCCAUGAAAAUCUCGACAAUCUUUUCACAGAAGUCAGAGAAUAUAGCCAUCAUACAUAUUUGAAAGGUGGUAGGUGCAUUGCAUAAGCCAAAAGGCAUAUGUCUAUAAGCAAAGGUACCGAAGGGGCAGGUGAAAGUGGUUUUCUCCUGAUCAGAUUGUGCAACAGGUAUUUGCGAAAAUAUUGUCGAAAGGUAUUUGAAAGGUCAGAAGAAGGACGCUAAGCCUAGGCUAAUCAGAUGGGUUCUCCUGCUACAGGAAUUUGAUUUGCACGUUAUUGACCGAAAGGGUGCUGAUAAACCUGUAGCAGAUAACUUGUCCACGCUAGAGAAUGUCCUUGAUGACCCACGACCUAUUGAUGACAGCUUUCCGAUGAGAAAUUGAAUGUCAUCCGCACUUCACAUAGUGCACCGUGGUAUGCUGAUUACGCAAACUAUAUCAUAGCCAAAUACAUACCACCCAGUUUCACCUACCAGCAAAAGAAGAAAUUCUUCUUUGAUAUGAGACACUACUUUUGGGAUGAUCCUCACCUUUAUAAGGAAGGAGUAGAUGGUGUUAUUAGACAUUGUGUGCCUGAACAUGAACAGGGACAGAUCCUGCAGAAGUGUCAUUCCGAAGCCUAUGGAGGACACCAUGCUGGAGAUAUAACUGCUCAUAAGGUAUUGCAAUCAGGUUUCUNNNNNNNNNNNNNNNNNNNNNNNNNNNNNNNNNNNNNNNNNNNNNNNNNNNNNNNNNNNNNNNNNNNNNNNNNNNNNNNNNNNNNNNNNNNNNNNNNNNNCUGUACGUGUGCUGAAUGCGGAGGUGCCGUCCGUUCGGUACUAGAUCGUGGGACUGAUCGCGGGAUUGUUCGCGGGGCGGAUCGAGGGACGUGAGGACGUUCCACUACAUCAACCGCGUUCUCUAACGCUUCUGCUGUACGAUCUACAAGGGUACGUAGAUCACUCAUCCCCUCUCGUAGAUGGACAUCACCAUGAUAGGUCUUCGUGCGCGUAGGAAAUUUUUUGUUUCCCAUGCGACGUUCCCCAACAGUGGCAUCAUGAGCUAGGUUCAUGCGUAGAUGUCUUCUCGAGUAGAACACAAAAGGUUUUGUGGGCGGUGAUGUGCGUUUUGCUGCCCUCCUUAGUCUUUUCUUGAUUCCGCGGUAUUGUUGGAUUGAAGCGGCUUGGACCGACAUUACUCGUACGCUUACGAGAGACUGGUUUCAUCGUUACGAGUAACCCCCUUUGCUCAAAGAUGACUGGCAAGUGACGGUUUCUCCAACUUUAGUUGAAUCGGAUUUGACCGAGGAGGUCCUUGGAUGAGGUUAAAUAGCAACGCAUAUAUCUCCGUUGUGGUGUUUGCGUAAGUAAGAUGCGAUCCUACUAGAUACCCUUGGUCACCACGUAAAACAUGCAACAACAAAAUUGGAGGACGUCUAACUUGUUUUUGCAGGGUAUGAUUGUGAUGUGAUAUGGCCAANNNNNNNNNNNNNNNNNNNNNNNNNNNNNNNNNNNNNNNNNNNNNNNNNNNNNNNNNNNNNNNNNNNNNNNNNNNNNNNNNNNNNNNNNNNNNNNNNNNNUGUUGUUCGGAGUCCCUGAUGAGAUCACGGACGUCACGAGGGUUUCCGGAAUGGUCCGGAAACGAAGAUUGAUAUAUAGGAUGACCUCAUUUGAUUACCGGAAGGUUUUCGUGCAUUACCGGAAAAGUUUCGGGCCCAUCGGUAGUGUACCGGGAGUGCCGGGUGGGGUGCCGGGGACCAUCGGGAGGGGUGUCACGCCCCAAGGGGUCUCAUGGGCUAUGGGAAGAGAUAAACCAGCCCCUAGUGGGCUGGAAUAAGUUCCCACUAAGGCCCAUAAGGUUUGAGAAGGAAAAAACACAAGGUGGAAAGAGUUUCCAAGUGGGAAGGUGGAAUCCUACUCCAAGUAGGAUUGGAGUAGGACUCCUCCACCUCCAAUUUCGGCCAAACCUUUAGGUUUUGAGGCUGCCUCCUCCCCUCCCUCCCACCUAUAUAUACGGAGGUUUUAGGGCUGAUUUGAGACGACUUUUCCACGGCAGCCCGACCACAUACCUCCACGGUUUUUCCUCUAGAUCGCGUUUCUGCGGAGCUCGGGCGGAGCCNNNNNNNNNNNNNNNNNNNNNNNNNNNNNNNNNNNNNNNNNNNNNNNNNNNNNNNNNNNNNNNNNNNNNNNNNNNNNNNNNNNNNNNNNNNNNNNNNNNNAAAACUAUGUAUCCACUGUUCUGCUCUUACCACAUCUCCACUGCUCUGCUGUUAUCAGAAAACAGGACCAGUGCCUCGGACAUUCGGCCUCCUCCGGAUGUCCGAGGCCCGGACAUCCGGCCUCCUCCGGACGUCCAAGGCCCGGACGUCCGACCAGCUUCGGAAAUCCGGAACUAUGCACCAGAGAAACUUCAGCCAUAUAACUCGUACUUCCGGCUCCCUCCGGACAUCCGAGGGCCGGACGACCGACCAGCUUCGGAAAUCCGGAGCCCUACACCAGAAGAACGUGAGCUCUAUAACUCGGAUUUCCGGCUCCCUCCGGACGUCCGAGGGCCGGACGUCCGUCCCCUUUCGGAAAUCCGGAACCUCCCACGAGAAGAAGUUGAGUCGAAUAACUCGGAUUUCCGGCCUUCUCCGGACGUCCGGUCGCUGUUCAAUUCAUAGUGUUUUCAGUCAUAUCUACAGCGCUCGGACGACCGACCCGUGUCGGACGUCCGACCCCUUGCGGACGCCCGGACUUCCGUAAACUGUCGGACGUCCGGACCCUGUGUGACUUAAAGUGUCCCCAACAGCUGUUUUACACUCCCCACUAUAUAUACCCCUCUCCCACUUCGUGAGAGGGUGUCCAACACAGCCUUAUCCUCAUAAGAACACACUUCUACCUCACACACAUUUGCUCACACCAAAUCUUAGAUCCCAAGAGCAUUUGUGAGCCCCUUUGAGAGUUGUUCCAAUCAAAAGAUAGAUCGUCUCCUUCUCCUCCUCUCAACCCAAGCUAUUUGAGAUUUGAGCAAGUUUUGAGNNNNNNNNNNUCCCCUUUCAGAGUUUUUCCAAUCAAAAGAUAGAUCGUCUCAUUCUCCUCCUCUCAACCCAAGCUAUUUGAGAUUUGAGCAAGUUUUGAGCAUUCCCCGUGAUCUUGUUACUCUUGGAGGUUGGAGACUCCUAGGCGGUAGGAGUUCUUCGGAGAGGAAUCAAUCCGUGUGAUUACCCCCCGGAAAAGUUUGUGAGGGUUUGGAAGCACCUCAAAGGCUUACCACUAGUGGUUGAGAAACGCCUUCGUGGUGUUAUCUCAAAGGGAGAAUAGGGUGAGUCUUCGUGGCGUUGGUGUGCCUUCGUGCUAACAUCCACCUCUCUAACGGUGACUAGCUUUCCUCCAAGGAAGUGAACAUCGGGAUACAUCUUUGUCUCAGUGACCUUGGUUAUCCUUAACCCUAACGCCUUACUUGUGGUUUACUUGUGUUACUUGAGCAUACAUACAUUGCAUAUUGUUUGUGCUCAUUAUAUUGUGGUGGCUAUUUCUUGUACAAGAUUAAUCAUUCAAGCAUACCUUCUAUAUCCACACGUUCACACUUGCAGCUUUUGAUAUAUCGCGUGCUAGUGUGAUCUAGUAUCUUGUGUCGUUCACCUACUUGUCGUGUGAUAUAGCUCAAGUAAGUUUGUGUAACUUACUUGUGCUUGUUAGUANNNNNNNNNNCCUUCGUGGCGUUGGUGUGCCUUCGUGGUAACAUCCACCUCUCUAACGGUGACUAGCUUCCCUCCAAGGAAGUGAACAUCGGGAUACAUCUUCGUCUCAGUGACCUUGGUUAUCCUUAACCCUAACUCCUUACUUGUGGUUUACUUGUGUUACUUGGGCAUACAUACAUUGCAUAUUGUUUGUGCUCAUUAUAUUGUGUUGGCUAUUUCUUGUACAAGAUUAAUCAUUCAAGCAUACCUUCUAUAUCUACACGUUCACACUUGCAGCUUUUGAUAUAUCGUGUGCUAGUGUGAUCUAGUAUCUUGUGUCGUUCACCUACUUGUCGCGUGAUAUAGCUCAAGUAAGUUUGUGUAACUUACUUGUGCUUGUUAGUAACUAUAUUGUGUCCAUCUUGGUAGAUCGUGUUGUUGAUACACGUUGCAGUGCCUAAUGCAUUUAGGAUUUGUGCUUGACAAGUAUCCUCUUAGUUUAUUUCCGCAUUAGGUUCAAGCCAAAUCCANNNNNNNNNNNNNNNNNNNNNNNNNNNNNNNNNNNNNNNNNNNNNNNNNNNNNNNNNNNNNNNNNNNNNNNNNNNNNNNNNNNNNNNNNNNNNNNNNNNNUACAAAAAGGAGGAGAUGGUCACAUUGACUCGGUGUAUCAAAAGGCUAUGGAUAUGCCCAUUAAUAGAUAUCAAUGUGAAUGAGUAGGGAUUGCCAUAUAAGAGAUGCACUAGAGCUAUAAGUAUGUGAAAGCUCAAAAGGAAAACUAGUGGGUGUGCAUCCAACUUGCUUGCUCACGAAGACCUAGGACAAUUUUUGAGGAAGCCCAUCAUUGGAAUAUACAAGCCAAGUUAUAAAACGAAAAUUCACACUAGCAUAUGGUAAUGACAAAGCAAGAAGCUCUCAAUCAUGAAGAACAUGGUGCUAUUAUGAAGCACAAGCGUGGAAAAAGAUAGUAGCAUUGUCCCUUCUCUCUUUUUCUCUUUUUUUCAUUUGGGCUCUUAGGCCUCUUUUUUCUGUUUUUUUUUUUUNNNNNNNNNNAAUGCUCUAAUAAUUAUGAUCAUCACACUUUUAUUUACUCAUAGCUCAAAACUCACAAGGAUGACUCCAUAGGAAAUGCCUCCGGCAGUGUACCGGGAUGUGCAACGAUCUAGCAUGGCGUAUGACGUUGAAACAUCUCGCUAGCUAUCUUACGAUCAUGCAAUGGCAAUAUGAGAGUGACGGCUCAAGUCAUGAGACGGAAUGGUGGGAGUUGCAUGGCAAUAUAUCUCGGAAUGGCUAUGAAAAUGCCAUAAUAGGUAGGUAUGGUGGCUGUUUUGAGGAAAGCAUAUGGUGGGUUUAUGCACCGACGAGAAUUGCAUGGUACUUGAGAGGCUAGCAAUGGUGGAAGGUGAAAGUGCAUCUAUACCAUGGACUCACAUUAGUCAUGAAGAACUCACAUACCUGUUGCAAAAGUUUUUAUUAGUAAUCGAAACAAAGUGCUAAACGCAUACUCCUAGGGGAAGGGUUGGUAGGUGUUAACCAUCGCGCGAUCCCNNNNNNNNNNNNNNNNNNNNNNNNNNNNNNNNNNNNNNNNNNNNNNNNNNNNNNNNNNNNNNNNNNNNNNNNNNNNNNNNNNNNNNNNNNNNNNNNNNNNUCCUGAGCCGCAUCUCCAGCACCCCGUGCUCUCGCUCCUUGUCGGCCGAUCGUCGGAGGACCUCGCCGUGCCGGACCCCGACCAGGCCAGCCCCAGCCCCGCCGCCGCCAUACCUCUCCAUUUUUUCCUCCAUUCUGUGUCUUCUCUAACCUCCCCCUCGUUCUCUUCGUCGUAUGGAGGGCCAUGGCCGCUGUGAGGUGGAGCUCCGACGCCGGCGGUGUGAGGCCUCCCGUCGCUGGGGACGGACUCUGCACGUCCAGAUCUGGAGGCCCCGGGCCGGAUCCAUGAGCCCCACGCCUCGCCGAAGUUCUCCUCCCGCCGGUGACCCCGCCGCCAGCCGCUGCACCAUGGCCUACUGGUGUCGAUCACGCAGACGAGCCGCUCGCCUCGCGCGGCGCUCGCGUGGGCUGCCUCGCCCCGGCCUAGCUGGACCACGAGCAGGCCUGGCAAGCCCGCGAGUCGGCCCAGCCGCGUGGCCAGAUCCAGCACUGGCCCGCUCCAGCCUCGCCUCCCGCGGCACCAACGUGGCCUGCCGCUCCACUGGCCUAGCUCCAGCACUUCGGGCCUCGAGCCCACGAGGUGAGCCAGCACCCAACCCACUAUCCGUUGCGUGGGAGUAGUAUAAUUAUACUACGCUCGGUAGCUCUGUUGGGCCCCAAUAGUACUAGAUUCCGCUCGAUGCCAUUUUUUUUUCUGUGUAACGAAUUUAUCUAAUUACCAGGGUUUGAGAAAAUGCAUUAUUUUAAAACCCGCGUUAAUUUUAAACAGUGCGUCGGAUUGCGACAAGUUAUAUAUUUAACUUGGCUAGAAUUUCGCGUAGAAUAAUAUUUCCCAGAUCUCAUGCAUAAUUAAAGUUGUUUAGCGUGAUGUUUGCAUCGGUUUGCGUGUCGACGAGAUAGAAACGGUUUAGUUCGUAGUUAUUUAACCGUAGCUCCGUUGGAGAUGAGCCAUAUAUGUAAAUGGACUAGAACGACGAGUACAAUCACGUGAACCACUUUGCUUUGCCGUUUAACAAACAUAAAAGGUGAAUAGGACAAAUCUAGACAUAUUUAGAAUUUAACACAUGAGGUCAUUUUGGAGAUGCUAUAAGUUGUUUCCGGUCUCAUUUAAAAUGCCUAGGUAGGUAGUUUAAUUUGUGCUUCACCUCGUGCCAUGUAUAAACAACAUUUAAUAAUGUCGUGUACCUAAUCGGGAGUGAACUAAAUAUUUGAAUGUGGAGCUUCGUCAAUAUGCAACUGUUGCAUAUUGAGCUUCACUUAAUGUGUAGCGUUUGACUCUGCGAAUUGUCAUGCCCUUCCUUGCAUAUUUGAAACUGAUCAUGCAUCAUAUGUGAAUUGUAUAUUGUCGUGCAUGUGAUGUGGUGAAUGUCGUGUGUUGAUUCUUAUUUCGGGUUUGCUUCGUCUCGAUAGAGUCCCGCGGGCAUGUCGAAAUGUGAGGACCUGUUCGACUAUGUUGGUUCAUCUGCUUCACGGAGUCGUUCUUCUUCCAAGCGGGAUAUGAGGCAAGAUGAUCAUUUCCCUAGAUACCAUUACUAUCAUUGUCAUGCUAGUUGUCUCAUUUUUUUCGUUAUGUCUCGCUGCCUACCACCUGUUAAAUAUCAACCUCCCAACAUUGUCAUGGAAAACCUUCAACCUUUCUAUAACCUAGCAAACCACUAAUUGGCUAUGUUACCGCUUGCUUAACCAUUGUAUAACGUUGCUAGUUGCAGGUGUAGUUGCUUCCAUGUGCAAACAUGGGUUCCUUGUUAUAUCACCAUAUUAUUAGUACCUAAUUUAAUGCACCUAUAUACUUGGUAAAAGGUGAAAGGCUCGGCUUUCUAGCCUGGUGUUUGUUCCACUUUGCCGCUUAGUUUCGGCUACCGGUGUUAUGUUCCAUAUAUGAGCGCUCCUAACAUGCUUGGGUUGUUAUGGGACCCCCCUAGAUUCUCGUUUUGGGAUAAAGCUCGUCUGGCAAGGCCCAACAUUGGUACUAUAUUUGCCCAACAUAAUAAUUCUGUUAAUACUGAAAAACAUAGCGCGUAUGAACCUGAGGAGUAAUUCAACAUAAUUCGGGGGGGGGUGCUGAUGGUGUUGGUCCCAAACAGAGCAGCUUAUUAACACUACCCGGGGCAACUCGGCGUUUGGCGUGGUAACCAUAGCUCAUCCGUCGUGUCCUUAGAACGAGAUACGCGGCUCCUAUCGAGAUUGUCGACACACCGGGCGGCCUUGCUGGACUUGUUUUACCUUUCUCGAGCAUCUUGUGCGAGGGAUUCUGAGGAUGCUUUGGAUUAUCUCGAGGUUGAGGUUUUCCAAUAGGAACCCGAGGAUGUCACGGGUUUCCCUGAUCGAGGUCAUUCUGUCACAGCGUGUGGUAGUUUGUGAUGGAUGAUAACCACAAGUAUAGGGGAUCGCAACAGUUUUCGAGGUUAGAGUAUUCAACCCAAAUUUGUUGAUUCGACACAAGGGGAAUCCAAAGAAUAUUCUCAAGUAUUAGCAGUUGAGUUGUCAAUUCAACCACACCUGAAAUACUUAGUAUAUGUAGCAAAGUUUCAGUAACAGAGUAGUGUGAUAGUAACAGUAGCAGCGGUAACACUAGCAGCAGUGACAUCAAUAGCGGUAACAGUAGCGGCAGUGACAGCAGUAGCGGUAAAGUAAUGUAGCAAGGACCAGUAGGAAAAGACUCGUAGGCAUUGGAUCGGUGAUGGAUAAUUAUGCCGGAUGACAUUCAUCAUGCAACAGUUAUAACAUAGGGUGAUAUGUAACUAGCUCUAGUUCGUCAAUGUAAUGUAAGCAUGUAUUCCGUAUAUAGUCAUACGUGCUUAUAGAAAAGAACUUGCAUGACAUCUAUUGUCCAUCCCUCCCGUGGCAGCAGGGUCCUAAUGGAAACUUAGGGAUAUUAAGGUCUCCUUUUAAUAGAGAACCGGAAAAAAGCAUUAGCACUUAGUGAAUACAUGAACUUCUCAUACUAUGGUCAUCUCCGGGAGUGGUUCCGACUAUUGUCACUCCGGGGUUGCCGGAUCAUAACACAUAGUAGGUGACUACAACUUGCAAGAUAGGAUCAAGAACACACAUAUAUUGAUGAAAACAUAAUAGGUUCAGAUCUGAAAUCAUGGCACUCGGACCCUAGUGACAAGCAUUAAGCAUGGCAAAGUAGUAGCAACAUCAAUCUUAGAACAUAGUGGAUACUAGGGAUCAAACCCCAUCAAAACNNNNNNNNNNCCAACCCAUCAUCGUCCAGCAAGCCUACAAUGAGAUUAUUCACGAACGGUAAAGAGCAUCAUGGAAUUGGAGAUGAAGGAUGGUUGAUGAUGACAACGGCGUCGAUCUCCCCUCUCCGGAGCCCAGAACGGACUCCAGAUCUGCCCUCCAGAGGACAGGUGGUGGCGGCGGCUCCGUGUCGUAAAACGCGAUGAACUCUUCUUUCUUAAUUUUUCUGGGCGAGAGAGACUAUAUAGAGCUGGAGUUGGAGGCGGAGGAGCCACGAGGGCCUCACAAGCCUGCCAGGCGCGGCCAGGGGGCCCGCGCCUCCUGGGCUUGUGGGCUCCUGGCUCCGUCCCUCCAGGUAACUCUUGCGCCAUUUUUUUUAUAUAUUCCACAAAAAAUCCUCGUAAGGUUCCAGGUCAUUCCGAGAACUUUUAUUUCUACGCAAAAACAACACCAUGGCAAUUCUGCUGAAAACAGCGUGAGUCCGGGUUAGUUCCAUUCAAAUCAUGCAAAUUAGAGUCCAAAACAAGGGCAAAAUACUUUGGAAAAGUAGAUACGAUGGAGACGUAUCAAUGGACUAGUUGGAGCACCCGUGGAUGGUUUAAUCUUUCGGAAAGUCAUGCCCGCGGUUACGUGGCAACUUGGAAACUUUGUUUAACAUCCAUUCUAGAUAACUUGAAGUUAACUUAAUUAAACCUUACCAACUGAGUGCGUAACCAUGAUUGUCUCUUUCGUGAGCUCCUUCUCUGAUAGAGGACACGGUGGGGUUAUGUUUGACGUAGGUAGGUGUUCAGGAUCAUUCAUUUGAUCAUCAGUAGUUCACGUCCGCUAUGCGUGGAUCAUCCCCCUCUUAUUCUUGUACUCGUAAGUUAGCCACCUCAAAUAAAUGCUUAGUCGCAUGCUGCAGCCUCACCGCUUAACCAUACCUCACCAAUUAAGCUUUGCUAGUCUUUACCUUUGGAAAUGAGAUUGCUGAGUCCGUGUGACUCACAGAUUACUACAACACCAGUUGUAGGUACAUGUAAAGAGUUACUUGACGCGAGCGCGUUGAUUGUUCAUUUGGAGUUUCUUCUUCUUCUUCAUCAUCGAUCUAGGAUGGGUUCUAGGUCGGCAGCCUGGGAUAGCAAGGAUGGACGUCGUUCUUUUAUCGUUUGUUUUCGUCCGUAGACGGACCUUGCUCUUCUCCAUGAUGAUUGUAUGAAUUGUACUGACGUGACUCUGAUGUAGCUUGUGGAGAGUGUAAGCCAACUCUUUAUACUCAUCUUUUAAGUCCAUGUACUUAUAACGAUAUCCAUUCUUGUGAAACGACGAUAUGCGUUUCUAUUCCUGUCUAGGUCCUCACGACAAAAUAAGGAUAGGACCGCAUCUUGGGCGUUACAUAACUUUAUUACAAAGUUGAGUCCAUUUUGAGUCAUUUAUUUUGGGAGAGAGGAAGUAUUUUUUAUCUUAUCUUUUUUGCUUCACCUUUCUCAUAUUUUUUUAUUUUUCAUCCUUUGUUUCACUUUUUGUAUGCUUUUGACUUAUUUUUUUAAUUUUUUAUUUGUGUUUGUCCCGUUUUCUAUGUGUUUUUAUUUUAGAUUUAUUUUUAUUUUUUUAUUACAUCCUUGCUUGUUUAUUCCAUUUUCUGUUUAUUUUAUUUUAGUACAUUUUUCUAAAUUCUAAUGGCCCCUNNNNNNNNNNNNNNNNNNNNNNNNNNNNNNNNNNNNNNNNNNNNNNNNNNNNNNNNNNNNNNNNNNNNNNNNNNNNNNNNNNNNNNNNNNNNNNNNNNNNUGAACUGGCCAUAAAGGGGCCUACGGCCUUCAUCAAUGACAGACUUGCCUUUUCCUUCAACACGCUCGAAAGUCUUCUUGUUGACCCUGAUAGGAGGCAUAUAACCAACAUGGUUGUUGAAAUCAGCGUGAUAACUGAUGCCUGACCUUGUUCUGAUGAAUCUCAUGAUCCAUGGGGCAUAUAUCUUGUGGUCAAAAGGACACAUUGCAUUGUCGGCCAAAGUCCUGAAGAAGAAAUCAUGAAUGUUGAUGGGAAUACCAUGGAUGAUGUUGAAGAGGAUAUUCUUCAUGAUGCCUGCGACAUCUUCUUCAUCAUCAUGGCCCUUGAUCGGUGCAAGAACGCUGCAGAGAAUUCUGUAAACAGUCCUUGGUUCAUAUUUGAGCUUAUGGAUGAGGAAAGUCAUUCUUGGUGGUUUCCCCUUAGGCAAAGGCUUCAUGAGGACUUCCAUCAUCUUGUUGGGUAGCUCACGUUCAUCAUAAAGCUUCACGAUCUGCUCUGAGGGAAUUGACACUGGUAGUUCACGCAGUAGCUCAAUGGCAGGAGCCUUGUAGUGUGUUGUUUGCGUCAUCCAGUCAAACACCCAUGUGUUGAUGUCUGUGGGAUCUCCUGAUAUGUGAAGAGUUGCAUAAAAUUGAAGAAUGAGCUCACUGUUCCAAUCACAGAUAUCUGAGCACAUUGGGAGGACUCCAGCUUCAUGAAGGACGUUGAGGACUGGAGCCAGGCAUGGUAUUUCUUCAAGCUCAACAUGAGGAAUAUGCGUGUGCUUGAUAAUCUUGUUUCUUCCACACAACACAGAGGCAUAGUAAUUGAGCUGUGUCGUUGUCCAAAACUUCAGAUGCCUGAUGCGAGGCUUGUCAUAGGGAUUUUCUUCGAUGAAGAACAUGCGUUCUUCAAAGAAGGACUUCUUUUGAAACGUUGGCCGCUUGGAGAACGGCUGACGCUGCAUGGGCUGAAGGUUUUGCUGUUGGACCCGAGGGGAGACAACAAUUGCAGACUCUGGGUUAAGGACGACAAAGGCAUUGUCUGGGUCUGGUGCAUUUUCCUCAGCAUGGUCCUCAGGAUGAGGAAUUUCAUCAGCUUGAGCUUCAGGUUGAGGAGCAUGCUCUUGUUGCGCUUCAGGCUGAGGAAUUUGGUCUGGUUGCGCUUCAGGUUGAGGAAUGGGGUCUGGUUGAGCUUCAGGCUGAGGAAUGUCGUCAACUGGAGCAUCGUGUUGAAGGUUUUACUAUGGAGGAGGAAUAGGUUCAUCCUGAGCCUCAGCUUGAGGAUCUUGCUCAGGAGGAGUUGGUUCAGCUUGAUCCUCAGGUUGAGGAUUUUGCAUAGGACUAUGACUUUCAUCAGCUUGAGGAUUUUCACUUUGUUCUUCCUCAGCUUGCUUGGUGACGGAGCCAGAUUCAUCAGCUGGUGCAGCUGAUCCUUGUGCAAUUUCUUCAUGAGGAAUGGAAGGCUCAGGACUGUCGUCAAUGCGAAUCUCCUCGUCAGUAUGUUCCUCAGAUUCAGCAUCCUUCAUUUCCUCAUCUGGCCCUUGCUCCUGGUAUUCGCUUGCGAAGGUAACCAUUUCAUAAGAUGGAGCGCUGUUAAGAGGCACAGGAUCCAGAGGAGCAUUUUCUUCAAGUGCUUUGAGGCGCUUGGCCUUAGUGUGUUCUUCUGCUGAAGAGGUUUUUCUCUUCUUGGCUUCCUUUACGGCAGCCCUUGUCUUUUUCACGUCUGAUGCAGACAGAGUCAUCUUAUUCACCUUUGAAGCUUUUGGUGAAGGUGUUUUCUCAGCAGAUUCAUCAGCUGGCUUUGAGGAACCAACUGGAGCAGAGUCAUCAGCUGGCUUUGAAGCAGCAGCUGGAACAGAUUCAUCAGCUGGCUUUGAAGCAAAUUCACCAGCUGGAUUUUCCGUGGUGAUUUCCUCAAUUGCCGGUUCAUCCACACGGCUUCCUUGAGGGAUUUCCUCAGCAUGAGCAGUUUCAUCAGCCGGUUCUUCAAUCAGAGGCUGAGUAGUUGGUACUGGAGGGGCAGCUUUCUUGUUGUAGUUGUUAACAACGUUAGUAGCAAGUUUGAUGAAACUGCUUUUGAGACUUUGACGGUCAUAAAGCUUGGAGUACUGAUCUGUCAAAGUUUUCAACUCUGCGUGUGUUGACACCAGGUCAUCAGGCGUCAGGUUGAGGAGAUUCUGCUUGAGGAAUUUCUCCUUCUUAAGCUUAGCAACCUUGGCCUGUUUGGCUUGCUACUCCUUCCACUUGGCCUCGUUGAUGAAUGUGGCCACCAUGUGGCUGAUGCUUGGGGGAAGUUUCAAAUCAUCAAGUGGAGUGUUGGGGUCCUCAUAGCAGAUAUUGAUGUAGUCGAGAAGGACUUUUGGGUCCAUGGCCAGAGGAAUGGAGCUGCCAGAAGCUUGAGCUACCCUCUCUUGCUUGUUUCUGAUCAUUGCUUGCAGAGUUUCAUCAUCAAAUUCAUCACUACCUUCUCAUGCAGAAGGGACCAUGAUGAUUUUGCUUGGGCUGGGUCUUGUUCCUCUCCCAGCAGUCACCUUAGUCUUCAAAGGAGUUGGUGAAGACUUUGUCUCCGAGCUUGUUGCAGCUGGGAGUGAGGAGCUGGAGGUAGCGGGCAGUGGCUUCACUACCGGCUUCUGUUCAGGUUUUGAAGCCUGUGGUAGUGUUGAAGGUUUUGGUGCUGAGGGUUUUGGCGCUGAUGGUUUUGGUGCUGAUGUUGGAGCUGUUUUCUCUUCAGGCUUUGAAGCCUUUGGUUUUGGUGGCACAGACUUUUAUUGAGGAAUUGCCGUACCGGAAGUCUCAGCAACACAGGAAGUAGCAGCAGUUGAAGCAGCAGCAGAUGAUUCGUUGAACUUCCUCACAACAGCCUCUGCCUCCUUCUUGAGCUUUGCCAAGUGUUUUUCCUUUUCAUCAGGAUAAUCAUCAAGUGUUUUGAGGCUUGAGGGAUCUGUUGCUUGAUAAUCCUCAAGUGGAGCCUGUUUGCCAGGAGGCUUCAGAGCGAAUUUCUUCGCAUAUUUGGGAGUGACGAAUAUGUACUCCUUCCACUCCUUAGCCCAUCGGCAUUCUAUCUUCUGAAGCCGAAUCUUUCUCUUGGGCAUAGUUUCAUUUUCAUCAGGAGUGCAGUAAUCCAGGUAUAUAUCCUCAGGGAUAUCUGCGGCAGUAUUCUGCUCAAGUUUCUUGCCUCCCUUUUGCUUCCUGUCAUCCUCCAUUUUCUUCAGUUGAGGAUUUUGCUGAUGAGAUUGAACUCUUGAGGAUUCUGAUGAGACUUGAAGAUUUUCUUCAAAAAACACUGCAAAUGAGUUAAUUUGAUGAGAACCGAGAGAUUCAUCAGCUGACAUGUGUGUACCUGUGAACAGAGUAUAGUUGCGAGGAAUUUGGAGAGGUCAUAUGCGUUCUCGGAUUUGAAGAAAAUGAAAAAAUUUGACAGUUGAGGAAUUAGACCAGUGGUUGAGGAAUUUGCCUAAGCAUACUGUUCUUGGGUUCCAGAGUUGUACAGAUCCGAAAAUUCGCACAACUGAGGAAUCUCGUGAAAAACUUAGAUGCUUAGUGAAGUUCAUCAAUAGUUUGGUGAUAGGCAGUGUUUGAGGGAUAAGAAACGGAUGGAUUCUUGAGGAAAAACAGAUUUCACAUCUUAGAGGUAAAAUAGUAGAUCAAACUUGCUGUAAAAAUGGGGUUUUUAUUUACCCUAGAUAGCGCGCACGAAGAACAGAGAAGAGUAGCAGUAGAAGCUCUUUCAGUGCGUGUCCAAUGCGCCCUAACUCGGCAACAGAGGACGUCUAAGGCGACGGCGGACGAGGAUGGUCCGACUCCGGCGUGGUUUCGGCGAUGGAAAAGUCGAGGCAGUGAAGCUCUUCUUCGCCGGCGUCGAGACUUCUAGCGGUGGCGCUAGGGUUUGGAGCUUUGCUGUAGCAGGAGGGCGAUGGAGCGAAGAAGAUUUUACCGAGGGAGAUGGGGACAUAUUUAUAGCCAUGUGGUAACUGUUGGCGCGAAAAUAUCGGACCAAAUAGCCCCUGCCUCUAUGACUCCGCAGGACACGUGUAGCUCAUGAGAGAAGCGGUGGAGAUCGUGGUUAUCCGAACGAGGAAGGUGGGGUUCAGUUACUGUGCAUUAAAGAAACAUUUUUUGAAGAUUUGAGAAUUUUGAUACAAAAUCAUCAGCUGACAAGGACGCGGUGAGGAUUUUGAACAAAGUUUCAAGUAGAAUGCAUAUGAAGAAUUGAAUAGACUGGAUGAGAAUAGCAUAGAGGGAAAGUAGGGUCCGAUCACAUUCAAUUAGAUGAAAUAUCAAAUUGAAGAAAUAGCUAUAAGUGAAUGAUGUUGAGGACUUGAAAUCACAGUCUAUCUAGGUAAACGAAAAUCAUCAAGUGUUUUUGAAGAUUUGAAUAACUUGAGGAUUUUGUGAUAAAGCGUCAUGAUGAUGAAUUUCAGUUUUGAAUAAAAACGAUGUUUGAAGAAAAUCAAAUUUUGAAGAAAUGAAACUUUGAAGAAAUUCAACUUGAGGAAUUUCACGUUGGGCGGUGGCGUGACCGACCAUAUAAGAAUGUUGAUUACAGACGCCGCGUACAAUUGUCGUAGGGCCGUGAGAAUCAAUUUCUUCAUUGAUUUCUUCACACUCAGAGUGAUAGAAAAUCGAUUCAUCGUGUGUUGCACAUCUAAGUCAUCAAUUUUGCAUAAGUGUUAGGAUGUGUGCAUGUUUUUACAAAAAUAUUGAAGAUUCUAAGAUAUUUAGCUCACACCGCAACUUGCAAAACCUUCUCUCAUCCAAGGGCUUAGUGAAGAUAUCUGCCAGUUGAUCAUCAGUCUUCACAUGGUCGAUGAGGAUAUUGCCCUUGAGGACAUGGUCCCGAAGAAAAUGAUGACUUAUCUGGAUGUGCUUGGUCUUCGAGUGUUGUAGUGGGUUGUAUGCAAUCUUGAUUGCACUCUCAUUGUCGCAGUAGAGAGGCACAUUCUUCAUGUUGAUAUCGUAGUCCUUGAGGGUUUGCUUCAUCCAUAGCAAUUGAGCACAACAUGAACCAGCAGCAAUGUACUCAGCUUCGGCAGUGGACAGUGAUACGCGGUUCUGCUUCUUUAAGGACCAGCAAACUAGUGAUCUUCCGAGGAAAUGACAUGUGCCAGAGGUUGACUUGCGAUCCACACGGUCACGAGCAUAGUCAGAAUGAGAAUACCCCUACCAGAUGAAGAUUUGAGCCCUUGGGGUACCAUAAUCCUAGUGUUGGUGUGUGAUCUAAGUAUCGAAGAAUAUGUUUCACAGCCUUAUGGUGUGAUUCCUUCGGUUUUGCUUGAAAACGUGCACACAUGCAAACACUAAGCAUUAUAUCUGGCCUAGAUGCACAUAAAUACAAUAAAGAGCCAAUCAUAGAGCGAUAUACCUGCUGAUCGAAUUCUUUACCAUUUUCGUCAGUGCAGAGGUGGACGUUGGUAGGCAUUGGAGUCUUGGCACCUUUGCAUUCAUGCAUGUCGAAUUUCCUCAGGACAUCCUUGAGGUAUUUCUCGUGUGAUAUGAAGAUUCCAUUGCGUUGUUGACGAAUUUGAAGACCUAAGAAGAAUUUCAGCUCCCCCAUCAUAGACAUCUGAUAUUCUUCACUCAUCAUGUAAGCAAAUUCAUCACUGUAUCGUUUGUCAGUACAGCCAAAUAUAAUAUCAUCGACAUACAUCUGGCACACAAAUAGCUCAUUAUCAUAGGAUUUAGUGAAAAGAGUUGGAUCGAGUGAACCAGGUUUGAAGCCUUUCUUCAUGAGGAAUUCCUUCAAUGUAUCAUACCACGCCCGAGGGGCUUGCUUGAGACCAUAGAGUGCCUUUUGGAGUCUGAAGACUUUGUCUGGAUUCUUUGGAUCCUCAAAACCUGGGGGCUGAGCAACAUAUACUUCUUCCUCAAGCUUACCAUUUCAUAUGCUUCAGACUUGAAGAAUAUGAUAUCAAUUUCAUCAGAUAGGAAUUUCAUCAUAAAAAAAUUAUAAGGACGUGUGAAAUAUUUCUAUUUCAUCAAUAUUAGGUUGCGUCCUAUCAAGUAUUUCCUCAGGUCUCCAGCAACUUCUUCAGAUUAUGAUUUUCAUCUGGAGACCUGACCUCAGAAGUGAUUAGUUCAAUUUCUUCACCACCCACAUCUGAAGGGGUGGUAAAGCAUUCAUCAUCCCACGAGCACCAUAUGAGAAAGGGGCAUUGAAGCUAAUGCACUUCUCUUAGCAGUAGGGGGUUAAAGUACUCAUAUGAAUAUGCAGAGAACUGGUUUGAGGAUUUAUGAACAUAAUGAUUUGAAGAGUAAUGCUCAUACUCAUAUUCCUUGUAGUUUCCCUGCAUGUUAGAAGCAUUAGCACGAGUACGAGCAUAGUUUUGAGCAGUUGAGGAUUUUGAUCCUUUUGAAGACUUUGGUCCUCCUGAGGAAUUUGAUCCGUGGUUUAGAUUCUUCAUUGGUGGUGUCAUGAGGACAUUCACCUGAAGAUUUUCAAGGCAACUUUUGGGAACCCAGAUUUUCCUCAAGGGAGACCCAUUCCUGCAGUUAGUUCCAACAUACUAGCAAAUACUUUACGAGAUUGAUUUUUGAACAGUUUAUAGUUGGAGUCAAAUGACUCAUCUGAGGAAUAGGAUAAUUCACAUGAAAAACCAGUUAGAUUGGAUGGAUCAAAAGGAGGCCCAGUAGCAGCAACCCAUGAGGUUUUGGGAUACUGCUCAGGUUUCCAAUAAGAUCCAUCAGCAUUCAAUUUCCUCUCAAAGGCAAUUCCUUCUUUCCUCAGGUUCAUGUUCAAGAUCUGCUUUUUGAGCACAUCACAAAGGGUUUGAUGUCCUUUGAGGCUUUUGUAUAUGCCUGUCACAUACAAUUCCUUCAGCCCUGCAUUUUCAUCAGUGACAUUUGUGUUUUCCUCAAGUGAGGAACUUGACACUACAGGAGCAGUUGAAGAAUUUGUAGCAAUAGAAGCAUUUGAUGAUUCUGGUGAAGAAUUAGCAGUUUCACGUUCAAUGCAUUUAAGACAUGGAGGAAUGAAUUCAGCUUGAGCAGCGCUGAUCUGUUGAGCUAGUAAUGAAUCAUUUUCCAUACGAAGAUCAUCAUGAGAAAUCCUCAACUUCUCUAGAUCAAGCUUCCUUUGAAGAAAUUCAUAGGAAAGUUUCUCAUGAUCAGCGAGGAGUGUAUCAUGACGAUCUUGAAGAUUAUCAAAACUAGACUGAAGACUUUUCACAUCUUCAGUGAGGAUUUGGGUAAGAUUCAUUUCAUCAUUCAACAGAUCAUCGCUUCUAUCUAGGAGUUUCCGAAGCUUUUCCAGGGCAGUUUGUUGUUUAGUCGCAAUGAUAGCAAGGUUAUUGUAACUGGGUUUUUUAUGAUCAUCAGGUUCACAAUCACUUGAAUCUGAGGAGGAAGCAUCAUUCGGUACCUUUGAACCUUUUUCCAUGAAGCAACAGGUUGGAGCGAAGUCAUCAGCAUAGUCAUCAGUGUGGAUGGUGUUAUCAUCUUCUUCAAGGUUGAAGAUAGACUUCUGACGAAAGAGGUUGCAAGUGCAAGACUAGCCUGUCCGGAUUCUGAGUCUUCAUCAGAACCCUCCUCUUCAUCACAUUCCUCUCAUUCUGCCUCGGAAUCCAUUUCCUUGCCAAUAAGUGCCCGAGCCUUUCUGAAAUUGGUCUUCUUGUGCGAUGAGGACUUUGAAGAUGAGGAUUUUCAAGAUUUCUUCUUCUUCUUCGAGUCAUCAGAACUGUCAUCCUUGUAUUUCUUCUUCUUUGAUUCCUUUCCCCAACGGGGACAAUCAGCAAUGUAGUGACCUGAUUUCUUGCAUUUGUGGCAGGUUCUUUUCUUGUAGUCCUCAGAUGAAGAUUCUGAUUUCCUCAUAUCUCUUCUUGAAGAUUUACCGAACUGGCCACGUCGUGUAAACCUCUGAAAUUUCCUCACGAGCAUUGCAAGCUCCUGUCCAAAUUCUUCAGGAGCACAAAUGCUAUCAUCCGAGUCUUCUUCUUCAGAUGAGGAAAUUGCUCUAGCCUUUAGUGCACGUGGUCUAGAAUAGCUUGGUCCAUAUAGAUCUCUCUUUUCUUCUUGCUAGAAUUCAUGAGUAUUGAGUCUUUCGAGUAUAUCAGCUGGAUCAAGCAUCUUGUAGUCUGGUCUUUCUUGAAUCAUCAGAACUAAAGUAUCAAAUGAAGAAUCCAAAGAUCUUAGCAGUUUCUUCACAACUUCGUGAUCAGUAAUGCCUCGAGCUCCCAGUGCUUGCAGUUCAUUUGAUAUGUUAGUGAGGCGAUCAAAGGUAUCUUGGCAGCUUUCAUUGUCAAACCUCUUGGAGCGAUUGAAGAGAUUGCGAAGAACAUCAACACGAGAAUCACGCUGGGUUGAUACUCCUUCAUUUACUUUGGACAGUCUUUCCCAGAUAAGUGUCGCUGAGCCCAAGGCACUCACUCUGCCAAACUGGCCUGGGCUCAGAUGGCCACAGAUGAUAUUCUUCGCUUGAGAAUCAAGUUGCUUGAAUUUCUUCACAUCACCAGCACAGAUACUAGCAGAGAUGAUGGGGACGCCAUGUUCCACAGUAUACCAGAGAUCAUUGUCAAUAGCUUGUAGAUGCAUCUGCAUCUUGGUCUUCCAGAAGGUAAAGUUCUUUUCUUCGAAAGUAGGACAUGCUGCAGUAACCUUAAUCAUGCCUGCAGUCGACAUAACUAAAACUCCAGGUGGUUAAACCAAAAUCACAUAGAACAAGGGAGUACCUUGCUCUGAUACCAAUUGAAAGUGCGUUAUAUCGACUAGAGGGGGUGAAUAGGAGAUUUUUAGAAUUUCAUCACUGAGGAAAUUCCUUUUGAGGAAAUUCCUCACUGAUGACUACCUUACAGCGGAAACAGUAAAGGAUCAGGAGUGCAAGGUUUCACUACAGCAGUUUUUUAGGAUGAAGAGUGUGAAAACUGAUUGCACAGUAAGCACGCACGCAGAAAACAGAUGAGGAUUAACUUGCGUGAAGAAUUUGGUGUUGAGGAAUUUCAGAGAAAGUCCUCAGCAAAUUCUGCAAGCAGUGACAGUGAAAAUCAUCAACACAUAAUGUGAGGAAUAUAAAGAGUUGAGGAAUUAGAACCAGUUUCACAGCGAAGACAGUAGUUGAUGACCCAGUUCCAACUGUUGUGAUAGUUGUACAUCUGGUUUGGAGCGGCUUGGUAUUGAAACCAAAAGACACACAGUCCCGGGACACACAGUCCCUACCGUAUUCUCCUUGGGCUAAGAACACACAGUCCUCCCUCAACACUCGUGGUAAGUCUUCAGGGCAGACUUCCAAACUCUCACAAACUUGGUCACCCGGCGAUCCACAAUUGACUGCUGGAUUUCUCUAGACCAUGACGCCUAACCGUCUGGAGGAUGCACAGUCCUCAAAGGUAAAAGGCUUCAGUCCCACACACGAACAACUUCUUCAGUGAUUCUCAAUCACUUGGUUUUCGGUUUGUGGUUUGGUGUUUGGGGUAUUUCCUCACUGAUGAAUUACUCUCGAAGACUCUGAGGAAUUUGGGUUGCUCUUAUGACAAGUGUCAAUUUCUAACGGAGCAGCCGACCAGCUAAUGGUUGUGGGGGGGCGGCUAUUUAUACCCUGGGAGCAUCCCGACAGGAUUUGACAUUAAUGCCCUUAAAUAAUAUGACCGUUGGUGUGGAUAAGACCAAUGAUGUGGCGUGGCUAUAAAAACGAUCGGGACCCUCAACUGUGAGAGUCCUCAUGUCACUCAUAUUCCUCACUUGAGGCUUUUGGUAGGAUUAGGCUUGGGUUGAGCAUCAUGAGGAAAUUCAUUCCAAUGUGUUACCUCAACCCCCUUUAACAGUACGGUGUUCCUAUUACUCAAGUGUGAAGAAAACAAAACAGAAAGAGUAAAUCUUCAUGCUUCAAAGUCUUCAGAAUGAUUUUCUUCAGGACACGCCGAAUUCCUCAAUUUCAAUAUGUUCAUGAGGAAUAUCAAUUUCAAUGCAAAUUCUUCGCGAUUCAAAUCUUCAGCUUCAGACCAAUUUCGUCAACCGAAGAUAUACAUUUUUAGGGGUCGAUAUUCAUCAAAUAUUUCAUACUCCUCAGUGACUUAUAGAUCCUGUGUACACUCAAGAACACAUUAGAUACUUAACCUAUAAGUCUUCAAACCACCAAAAUCACUAAGGGGCACUAGAUGCACUUACAAAAAUUAAUGUUAGUUUUUGAGAAGGAUAUGUGCAUAUGCAUCUUAUCCAUGCCAAUUUGACAAAAUGAUUUACAGUAGUACCUUUCAUGUGAACAAAAUGCUGAAGAAUUUGAACAUGAACAACCUGAUAAAGUACAAUAGGAGAAGCGAGUACAAUAGGAGAAGCGAGAACAAAAGGGGCCAUACAUAUCUAACAGAAUUCACCAGAAAUUAUUUUUACAUUUUUUUCAAAAUCAAUUCGUUAGAAUUUACACAACUCCUACAGUACCUUUGUAUCAUGCUCGGUAUUAGACAUAACCAUUUGCAUCAAGUCAAUGCAACUUUUGGGGAAUGCUUCCAGUACUGCCCCAACCAACUGCACACACUCGAGAUGACAAAUCGGAAGAAUUGAGUGGGCAGGAGGCAGAUUGGGAGAAGAACCUUCAGCUUUAAGUUCAAGUAUCUCCCUACUGAACCAUGAUGGCGAGGAAAUCAACCAAAGGGGCGGAGGAGAUCUACAGCGCGACGAUGCGUAGAUCAGUCUAUGUAUGGUCACUCAAUGUAAGAGCUAACUCUUUUUUUCGGCUUUUUCCUUUUUAUUUUAGCAGCGUAUGGUCAGUCAAUGUAAGAGCUAAUUCCAACCGGCCCACCCAAAUAGGCGGUGAUUUUGUUUGUUUUGUCUAUUUGAAUCAGCCGUCCGCUUCGUGUCCGUCAACUUUUCAUUUUGGGUCGGCCGUGCGUCCGAGCGAUCCAUUUUAUGUCCGCACAUUUACAUUAAAAAGGCCUUCACGGAAACGUCCAAGAGUCAUGCCGGCACCAUACCAGCGGCUGACAUACAUUGUCAGCCUACAUAAAACCAUCAAGCAGUUCAUGCUCGCACACUUGUCAGCGGCCGACACACAUGCCAGCACAUCAAAAGGGACGGGAAUUCGACCACGCCAUGUCGGCCUGUGGUCAUGCCAGAAGAUUUGUCGGCAUGUGAAAAAGGGACUGUGAUCUCCGUCGCAGAUCACAGCUGGUCGAACUUGAGCAUUUCGACCUCCAGCUUCUCGAACCAUAGCUUCUUCCACGACAACUCGGUGUUCAGAUCAACCUUCAUGAUCUUCGUGGUGUCUUCAUGUUUGCGAGGGCCACUUCUUUCGCCUUGGACUUGGCAUUCGUGGCCUCGAUCUCGACCAUCUUGGCUUGCUUCGCCUCCUCCAACUCAAGCAUCUUGGCUUGCCUCUCCGCGUUCAUCUCGAGCCUCCUCCUUUGGACUCCCAUGAAAGCAUGCACUUCCUCCUCCUUUUCUUGCCGACGCUUCUCCUCCCUCAAGUCCUUCUUGUUUAUCAUGCCCUCCACCUUUUCAAGCAAGGCGAUCGACGCCGUGUCCCGCCUAUCCUCCUUCUUCGAGUUGGUCUUCCCCCGCGGUCGGGCCUUCUCGCCACCAUGGUCCUGCACAGCUUCUUUCCCCCCACACGCAAAGAGGGCGUCAUAUUGCGCCUUGAAGUUCUCCUCCCCGUUGAUGAUAAUCCAACAAUGGGCGAGAUGGAAGGCUUUGUCAUCGUGCUGAACCUUGAAUUCCUGCAAAGCUUGGAACACCUACAAUUAAAACCAAGAGAGCAUAUGUGAAUAAAUGGACAUGCAAUCCACGAGAAAAAUGCAUGGCACCAAAAGGAAACAAGAGGGCAUGCAUACCAUGUCUUGCAUGCCAAGGCCGCUCAAGGGGCGUGCCUUGAUGCUCUCAUAGAUGGCACAAAACUUGUUUCAUUAUUGUUGAAUCACCCCCCCAAUGCUUUGAAACUAACACCCAUCCACGAUUUCUUUGCAUUUGGUACGGGGGGAACUUCUUGCGCUCAUGGAACUCAUGAUGAAUAUGAGUCCAAAAGGUUGAUCACUUUUGUUCGACGAUGACCUUCGGGUCUUUCCCAAUGUCCCUCCAACACUCACAAAUGAGCUUGUCCUCUGCCAACGUGUAUGUCUUCGUCUGCUUGCCCUUGCGCUCCGGCUUCGCCCCGGCGGCAGUUUGGUUGGCGAGCUCAUCCUUGAACAAAGGCUUCCCGUCGAUGUCCAUGUCAUCCUCCUCCUCCUCAACGUCGUAGUCCUCCGAGAACUCAUGGUCGAGCAGGAAGCCAUCUAGGCCGACAUGAUCAUGCAUGAAGGAGUCAUGUGGGUCAUUGGUGGCUGCUACGGCAACAAAAGUCCUUCCCCGGCAACGGCGCCAGAAAUCCUUCUGCUACUUCUCAAACAAGAGCGCCAGAAAUUGACACAUUGACGGAGACUUUCUUGUGUUGGUUUUUCCCUUGAAGAGGAAAGGGUGAUGCAGCACAGGAGCAGUAAGUAUUUCCCUCAGUUUGAGAACCAAGGUAUCAAUCCAGUAGGUGAAUCUCGUCAAGUCUAGAGUACAUGCGCAAACACAAAAGAGCUUGCACCCAACGCUUUAAAGGGGUUGUCAAUCCCUUCAAGAUUGUUUGCAAAGUGAGAUCUGAAGGCGAUAAGUGCAACGAAGUAAAAAGUGUAAGGCUGAAAAUAUGGUGUGGAGUAGACCUGGGGGCCAUAGUGGUCACUAGAGGCUUCUCUCAAAAUAGCAAAUAUUACGGUGGGUGAACAAAUUACUGUCGAGCAAUUUAUAGAACCACGCAAAGUCAUGACGAUAUCUAAGGCAAUGAUCAUACAUAUAGGCAUCACGUCUGAGACAAGUAGACUGAUACUUUCUGCAUCUACUACUAUUACUCCACACAUCGACCGCUAUCCAGCAUGCAUCUAGUGUAUUGAGUUCAUGACGAACGGAGUAACGCCUUAAGCAAGAUGACAUGAUGUAGAGGGAUACACUCAAACCAAUGAUGAAAACCCCAUCUUUUUACCCUUCAUGGCAACAACAUGAUGCAUGCCUCGCUACCCCUUCUGUCACUGGGUGAGGUCACCGCACGGUAUGAAACCAAAACCAAGCACUUCUCCCAUUGCAAGAAUCAUAGAUCUAGUUGGCCAAACAAAACCCAUAACUCGAAGAGAAUUACAAGGAUAUGAAAUCAUGUAUAAGAGAUAUCAGAAGAAACUCAAAUAAGAUUCAUAGAUAAUCUGAUCAUAAAUCCACAAUUCAUCGGAUCUCGAAAAACACACCGCAAAAGAAGAUUACAUCGGAUAGAUCUCCAUGAAGAUCAUGGAGAACUUUGUAUUGAAGAUCCAAGAGAGAGAAGAAUCCAUCUAGUUACCGGCUAUGGACCCGUAGGUCUAUGCUGAACUACUCACGCAUCAUCGGAGAGGUCAUGCUGUUGAUGAAGAAGCCCUCCGUAUCCGAAUCCCCCCUAUGGCAGGGCACCAAAACGUGCCCAGAUGGGAUCUUGCGGAGACAGAAGCUUGCGGCGGCGGAAAAGCACUUUCGAUGAUCUCCAGAUUUUUUGUGGAAUUUUUGGGGAUAUAUAGGCGCAAAAACUAGGGCAAAGGAGGUCCAGGGGACCCACAAGCCUGGGGGCCGCGGCCUCCCCCCUGGCCGCGGUGAGGGGGCUUGUGGGGCCACUGGGGACCCCCUGCCUUGGCUCUCAAGUCUUCCGAUCUUCUUCUGUUACGGCAAAAAUCUUUUCGAGGAUUUUAUUCCGUUUCGACUCCGUUUCAAAAUCUCCUCUAAAAGGGGUCAAAAACAUGGGAAAAACAGGAACUGUCACUUGGCACCGAGUUAAUAAGUUAGUCCCAAAAGAUAUAUAAAAGGCAUGCAAAACAUCCAAAGUUUGACAAGAUAAUAGCAUGAAACCAUCAAAAAUUAUAGAUACGUUGGAGACGUAUCAGUGGCUUGCAUGAAUGGCGCUCGGCCGUCGGCGCACCGCCUUUGAAGAUCAUGUUAUUGAGGAAACGGUUGGUCGUGUCAUCGUCGAUGGUUGCCGAUAUUCUGUCGAACAGAUUGCAGACGCUGGUGAGCAUGUCGGCUGGCAUCUCGCGCUGGCGUUUUCUCAUGCCUCCGGACGAUGAUCCGCCUGCUACCGGCGCGGCGUUGAGGUCGAUGGUCACCGGCGCAGGCGUGGAAGGGGCCACGAUGCUCACCUCAAGUGAGCAUUUCCCGGAGAAGCGGUUGCCUUGCGGGUAUACGUGGAAACCGGGAAUCAGCUGCAUGCAAGACACGCGCGACGACUCUGGCAACAUCAUCCGAGGAUAUGCCGACGAGCCCAUGCUGGCCGCGGCCGCGACAACGGCGGCAUUGACAAGCCCGUGAUGGCUAGGGUUUACCCCUAGGUACAAUAAGGCCUCCGUCGUUGCCGCCUUCACCCGGGCAUUGAUGUCUUCGUGUUGCGCGGCGGCGGCGAUGGCAGUGGCGGCAGCUGCCUCGCCCUUUGCAUCAUGCGUGUGCCUCCGGUCCUUCCUCUUGGCCGACUCCACGGCCCGCUCCUCGGGCGUCAACUCCUUCUUCUUCUUCUUGGGCGACGCGACGGCCUUGCGGGAGGGGGGUGAAGAUUCGUCACCAUCGUAGUGGUCAUCAUCGUCUUCACGCGUCUUCAUCCUCCUCCUUGUUGUCGUCCAUGAUGAUGUCGACGUACAAUGGUGGCCGUCAGAGGUGGGUCGGUGGCCCCCGUGAUGGAUGCCAGGCUAGAGGCUCCUGCACCAGCUCUUCCCAUGGCACAGACGACUUCGACAAUGGCGACCGUGGCGGCGUUGGUGACCAUGGCUCGACACCCACUCACGAGGUCAUCUCCGAUGUCGCUGACGACCACAUCGACAUGUGGCCCACCAACGUCGGGUUCCAUGCCGCAAUGGGGGGCUCCUCCAACACUUCCUCCUUGACGACCAUGUCCAGCUCCGGGAUGGUCAUGUAGACGGACGCGGAGAGGGCUAUCAUCUCGUGGGGGGCAUUGGGCCUCGUUAUGGGUUCAGUCGAAGGACCUGCCUCAAGAGCUCCGCUUCCCAAAUGAUGACAUAUAUGGACCCAUGUGAAAACAAAUGUGCGAACAUGACAACACAAAAUAAAAUGGACGCGCAUGAUUGAUUUUGUGCGAGCAUUAAACAAAUCGAAUGAUUAUAGAUUUAGAUGAGACAUCAGAUGAGAUUUAGCAAAUCCAAAGAAAAACAAGUCAAGUUACGCUCUUCUCUAAUACACAAUCGAACCAAAAUAAACAAAAAAAGAUAGGUGACCCUCCACAUAAAAUCCAAAGCCGACAAAAUAAAGGCAAUUACACAAAACACAAAAAUGGCACAUUAAAAAGUCAUCCCGGGCUCACUGCUCCAUGAGGGAUGAACAGAAAACAUGACACAACUAGAACAAGCACGACUCCCAAACACAUAUAUCUACCGAUAUAUAAGUUAGAUGAGACAUUGUUAACUAUCUUCUGGACGAAAAUUAGCAAAACCAAUCCGAAACAAAACCCCGAGAUCAUGCCUUAAAAACGGCUUAUCAAAAGAUGCACACGCAAAUUGAUCGACAAGUAGACACCAGACAUACGACUCGACAUAAGACGCAGUAACAAAAUAACCCGUGAUCAAGAUUUGCAGGACAAUUAAACCCAACAGAUGACAAUGUAAUUUUCUUUCAUGAAUUUAAAACAACUAAACAAAGAAGAAAAGAAAAAACAAAGAAAAGAAAAAAUGGGAAAGAAGAAAAUAUAAAAUAUAAAUAAAACAUGAAAUUAAAUAGUUCAUAACUCAAAUCAAAUAAUGAAACAGAAAAAAUGAAAAAGGGAAAAAUGAAACAACAAAUAAAAAGAACACAGCACACAUAUAGACUACUGCCCAUAAUAAGAGGAAACUAUACGAGCUGAGUGCACUUAUCUGAAGGGUCGUACAAAAUGGGACAACAAGAAAGUACAUGAAGGACUAGAAAAAAGACAACAUAUGGAAGGACAACCCACAUUUUAAAAGAUAACGAAUAUUAAAGUUUUUCAUCAAAGGCUUAGGGCAUCCAUAAUAUAGUGUUUUGCUGCCUCUAAAGAUCGCAUCUAAGAGUUUAAAGUCGGCGUCAUACACUGCACAUCCAGCCUCUAAGCUAAAAAGCGUUGGAGUCGCCUCCAUGCUAAGAGGCUGCCUCCAAGCUUCUUCUUUGAUUAAAAUAAUAUGGUGAUCCUACUUGUUAUUUUGAUGACCUCGGAGCUCAUCUAGGUGAGUUGAUGAGAGAAAGAAAUAUAUUAUAUUACAUCUGGGUAAAUGUUUAGAGGCUGCAACAUCUUUAUACAUUGUGGGGUUUUGAACAAAGUUUAGAGGCAAGCAUGUGGGUCCCGUAUUAGAGGCACUGCUGCCUCCACACAUUGUGGAUGCUUUUAGGAGUUAGAUGUGAGACUAGAUGUGAAAUAACAAUUAUGUUUGGUUAAAUACUCGUUUUUUUAACUCAGUUCAUUUUGUUGUCUCAAAUGUUUGCUAGCAACGAAUAUGUUAUGAAAUGACAUGUCAUGAUCCACUUUUCUACAACUAUAAAUAUCUUCGAUGCUUUAUGACCACAUUUAUAAGACUUUGUCAUUGUUAUUGGCAUGUUGACAAUAUUUUGCAGUGAACCUACUGAAAAAUAUAUAUCGGCCUCUUGGUCAUGCGUUGUAUAUAUGUGUUCUUCAUAUCUCCUAGGCUUAACUUUUAAUUUAUGAUGGCUGAACCCGGCUAUAGCAAAGGCACAAGGCACGCGCCAUUCCAUCUAGUCAAAUGAAGUGGGGGAGGUCACGGCGAGCACAUAUGCAAGGUCGUGAUUCGAAAAUCAUAUUCUUACGAUUGAAGAUUUUAUGAAAUAUGUAUGUACCAUAGUUUAUUUUAGAUUGUACUCCCUCUGUUUUCAAAUAUAGAACAUUUUAAAGAUUACAUUAUAAAAUACAUACGAAUAUACAUAAAUAUAUUAUAAAGUGUUCAUUCACUCAUUUUAUAAUGAAUUUAAAAAAUAUCUAUUUAUAAAUGGAAGGAGUAUAAUUGCUCCCACGUGGUUUAGCAACCGUCGCCGGAACUGGCACGUAAAACUUUUUGUAGAACAUGUACAUAUGAAUAGCAUUGCUGGUCGAGAUUACCACAACUCGUCAUGAUUGAAUUUACUCCCUUCAAUCUAAAAUGCAAGCAGCUUAAUUUUUUGAAAAAUUAAACAUAUCGGUGUUUGACCAAAGCAACAGAGACAAAUGUUAACGUCCACGAUAUCAGAUGAGAAUUAUUUAGUUAGUCACGAAAUAUUAUUUCAUAGUAUUAUAUAUAGUUCAUUCUGUAGAUGCUACUCCUUUCGUCCCAAAAUAACUGUCUUAAGCUUAGUACAAAUUUAUACUAGAUCUAGUAUAAAGUUGANNNNNNNNNNNNNNNNNNNNNNNNNNNNNNNNNNNNNNNNNNNNNNNNNNNNNNNNNNNNNNNNNNNNNNNNNNNNNNNNNNNNNNNNNNNNNNNNNNNNAGAUCUCCAUGAAGAUCAUGGAGAACUUUGUAUUGAAGAUCCAAGAGAAAGAAGAAGACAUCUGGUUACUAGCUCUGGACCCGUAGGUCUAUGGUGAACUACUCACGCAUCAUCUGAGAGGUCAUGUUGUUGAUGAAGAAGCCCUCCGUAUCCGAAUCCCCCCUCCUGUAGGGCACCAGAACGUGCCCCAGAUAGGAUCUUGCGGAGACAGAAGCUUGCGGCGGCAGAAAAGUACUUUCUAUGAUCUCCUGAUUUUUUGUGGAAUUUUUGGGGAUAUAUAGGCGCAAAACCUAGGGCAAAGGAGGUCCACGGGGCCCACAAGCCUGGGGGCCGCGGCCUCCCCCUGGCCGCGGUGAGCGGGCUUGUGGGGCCCCUGGGGACCCCCUGCCUUGGCUCUCAAGUCUCCCGAUCUUCUUGUGUUACGAAAAAAAUCUUUUCGGGGAUUUUAUUCCGUUUGGAAUCCGUUUCAAAAUCUCCUCUGAAAGGGGUAAAAAACAUGGAAAAAACAGGAACUCGCACUUGACACUGAGUUAAUAAGUUAGUCCCAAAAAAUAUAUAAAAGGCAUGCAAAACAUCCAAAGUUUGACAAGAUAAUAGCAUGAAACCAUCAAAAAUUAUAGAUACGUUGGAGAUGUAUCAAGCAUCCCCAAGCUUAACUCGUGCUCGUCCUCGAGGAGGGAAGUGAUAAAGAAUGAAUUUUUGAUGUGGAAUGCUACCUAGCAUAGUUGACCUUUGCAACUUCUUUCACGUGACAUGAAUGUCCAGAUCCGUAAGAUUCAAAACAAUAGUUUGCUAUUGACAUGAACUUUCAAAAUAGCAAAAUAGCAAAGUAAUCAUGAACUUUCAAAAUAACAAGGCCAAGGAAAGUUAUCCCUACAAAAUCAUAUAGUCUGGCUAUGCUCCAUCAUCCUCACACAACUAAUGUAAAUCAUGCACAACCCCGGUAUUGGCCAAGUAAUUGUUUUCGCACUCUUACUUUCUCAAACUUUUUAUAACUAUCACGCAAUACAUGAGCGUGAGCCAUGGAUAUAGCACUAUAGGUGGAAUAGAGUGUGGUGGUGGUUGUGAGACAAGAAGGAAGAAAAUGUCACAUUGACUCGGCGUAUCAAAGGGCUAUAGAGAUGCCCAUUAAUAGAUAUCAAUGUGAAUGAGUAGGGAUUGCCAUACAAGAGAUGCACUAGAGCUAUAAGUAUGUGAAAGCUCAAAAGGAGAACUAGUGGGUGUGCAUCCAACUUGCUUGCUCAUGAAGACCUAGGGCAAUUUUGAGGAAGCCCAUCAUUGGAAUAUACAAGCCAAGUUAUAUAAUGAAGAUUCCCACUAGAAUAUGGUAGUGACAAAGCAAGAAGCUCUCAAUCAUGAAGAACAUGGUGCUAUUAUGAAGCACAAGUAUGGAAAAAGAUAGUAGCAUUGUCCCUUCUCUCUUUUUCUCUAUUUUUUUUGUUUGGGCUCUUGGCCUCUUUUUUAUUUGGGCUCUUUGCCUCUUCUUUUUUCCUCACAUGGGACAAUGCUCUAAUAAUGACGAUCAUCACACUUUUAUUUACUCACAACUCAAAGCUUGGAACGAUGAUGACUCUAUAGGGAAUGCCUCCGGCAGUGUACCGGAUGUGCAAUGAUCUAGCAUGGCGUAUGACGUUCAAAAUAUCUCGCUAGCUAUCUUACGAUCAUGCAAUGGAAAAUAUGAGAGUGACGGCACAAGUCAUGAGACGGAACGGUGGGAGUUGCAUGGCAAUAUAUCUCGGAAUGGCUAUGAAAAUGCCANNNNNNNNNNUGAAGGCAUAUGGUGGGUUUGUGUACCGACGAGAAUUGCGCUGCACUAAAGAGGCUAGCAAAGGUGGAAGGUGAAAGUGCAUCUAUACCAUGGACUCACAUUAGUCAUGAAGAACUCACAUACUUGUUGCGAAAGUUUUUAUUAGUAAUCGAAACAAGGUGCUAAACUCAUACUCCUAGGGGAAGGGUUGGUAGGUGUUAACCAUCGCGCGAUCCCGACCUCAACACAAAGGAUGACAAUCAAUAGAUCAAUUAUGCUCCGACUUCCUAACAUAGCGGUUCACCAUACGUCCACGCUACGGGAAUCACUAACUUCAACACAAGUAUCUCUAGAUUCACAACACCCUACUAACAUAGCUCUUAGUAUUACCGAAUCCAUGUCUCAAAACUAAUUGAGAGGAAUCAAGACUUCUCUUUCUACUCAAUGCACAUGAAGAUGGAGGUUUUUGCGUCCUCUUUGGGUACCUAUCACCUUUGGGACUACUUUCAUAGCAUAAGCCAACUACCAAGUCACGCGCCGUCGUGCUCUAAAAGAUAUAAGUGAAGCACACAGAGCAAAAGUAUCUAGCUCAAAAGAUAUAAGUGACGCACUAUGAGCAUUCUAGCAAAAUCAUGAUGAGCGCAUGUCUCUCUCUCUCUCAAAAAGCUGUGCAGCAAGGAUGUUUGUGACACAACAAAAAGAAAAGACUCCUACGAUACAAGACGCUCCAAGCAAAACACAUAUCAUGUGGUGAAUAAAAAUNNNNNNNNNNNNNNNNNNNNNNNNNNNNNNNNNNNNNNNNNNNNNNNNNNNNNNNNNNNNNNNNNNNNNNNNNNNNNNNNNNNNNNNNNNNNNNNNNNNNUUACAACAUGAUCAUCUCAUACAUCCAAUAUAUCACAUCACAUCGUUGGCCAUAUCACAUCACAAUCAUACCCUGCAAAAACAAGUUAGACGUCCUCUAAUUUUGUUGUUGCAUGUUUUACGUGGUGACCAAGGGUAUCUAGUAGGAUCGCAUCUUACUUACGCAAACACCACAACGGAGAUAUAUGAGUUGCUAUUUAACCUCAUCCAAGGACCUCCUUGGUCAAAUCCGAUUCAACUAAAGUUCGAGAAACCGUCACUUGCCAGUCAUCUUUGAGCAAAGGGGGUUACUCGUAACGAUGAAACCAGUCUCUCGUAAGCGUACGAGUAAUGUCGGUCCAAGCGCUUCAAUCCAACAAUACCGCGGAAUCAAGAAAAGACUAAGGAGGGCAGCAAAACGCACAUCACCGCCCACAAAACCUUUUGUGUUCUACUCGAGAAGACAUCUACGCAUGAACCUAGCUCAUGAUGCCACUGUUGGGGAACGUCGCAUGGGAAACAAAAAUUUUCCUACGCGCACGAAGACCUAUCAUGGUGAUGUCCAUCUACGAGAGGGGAUGAGUGAUCUACGUACCCUUGUAGAUCGUACAGCAGAAGCGUUAGAGAACGCGGUUGAUGUAGUGGAACGUCCUCACGUCCCUCGAUCCGCCCCGCGAACAAUCCCGCGAUCAGUCCCACGAUCUAGUACCGAACGGACGGCACCUCCGCGUUCAGCACACGUACAACUCGACGAUGAUCUCGGCCUUCUUGAUCCAGCAAGAGAGACGGAGAGGUAGAAGAGUUCUCCGGCAGCGUGACGGCGCUUCGGAGGUUGGUGAUGAUCUCGUCUCUGCAGGGCUCCGCCCGAGCUCCGCAGAAACUCAAUCUAGAGGAAAAAACUAUGGAGGUAUGUGGUCGGGCAGCCGUGAGNNNNNNNNNNUUUCUCCGGCAGCGUGACGGCGCUCCGGAGGUUGGUGAUGAUCUUGUCUCAGCAGGGCUCCGCCCGAGCUCCGUAGAAACGCAAUCUAGAGGAAAAAACUAUGGAGGUAUGUGGUCGGGCAGCCGUGAGAAAGUCGUCUCAAAUCUGCCCUAAAAGCCCCAUAUAUAUAGGAGGAGGGAGGGGGACCUUGCCUUGGGGUCCAAGGGAUCCCCAAGGGGUCGGCCGAGCCAGGGGGGAGGACUCUCCCCCCCCAAACCGAGUCCUACUUGGUUUGGUGGGAGGGAGUCCUUCCCCCUUCCCACUUCUUCCUUUUUUUUUCUUUCCUUUGAUUUUUUCUCUCUUGGUGCAUAGGGCAUUGGUGGGCUGUCCCACCAGCCCACUAAGGUCUGGUGUGACCCCCCAAAUGCCUAUGGGCUUCCCCGGAGUGGGUUGCCCCCCUCCGGUGAACUCCCGGAACCCAUUCGUCAUUCCCGGUACAUUCCCGGUAACUCCGAAAACCUUCCGGUAAUCAAAUGAGGUCAUCCUAUAUAUCAAUCUUCGUUUCCGGACUAUUCCGGAAACCCUCGUGACGUCCGUGAUCUCAUCCGGGACUCCGAACAACAUUCGGUAACCAACCAUAUAACUCAAAUACGCAUAAAACAACGUCGAACCUUAAGUGUGCAGACCCUGCGGGUUCGAGAACUAUNNNNNNNNNNNNNNNNNNNNNNNNNNNNNNNNNNNNNNNNNNNNNNNNNNNNNNNNNNNNNNNNNNNNNNNNNNNNNNNNNNNNNNNNNNNNNNNNNNNNAGGGAAGUGAUAAAGAAUGAAUUUUUGAUGUGGAAUGCUACCUAGCAUAGUUGUCCUUUGCAACUUCUUUCACGUGACAUGAAUGUUCACAUCCUAAGAUUCAAAACAAUAGUUUUCCAUUGACAUGAAAACAAUAAUACUUCAAGCAAACUAGAAAGGUAAUCAUGAACUUUUAAAAUAACAAGGCCAAUGAAAGUUAUCCCUACAAAAUCAUAUAGUCUGGCUAUGCUCCAUCAUCCUCACACAACUAAUGUAAAUCAUGCACAACCCCAGAAUUGGUCAAGUAUUUGUUUUCGCACUCUUACUUUCUCAAUCUUUUUAUAACUAUCACACACUACAUGAGCGCGAGCCAUGGAUAUAGCACUAUAGGUGGAAUAGAGUGUGGUGGUGGUUGUGANNNNNNNNNNNNNNNNNNNNNNNNNNNNNNNNNNNNNNNNNNNNNNNNNNNNNNNNNNNNNNNNNNNNNNNNNNNNNNNNNNNNNNNNNNNNNNNNNNNNNNNNNNNNNNNNNNNNNNNNNNNNNNNNNNNNNNNNNNNNNNNNNNNNNNNNNNNNNNNNNNNNNNNNNNNNNNNNNNNNNNNNNNNNNNNNNNNNNNNNNNNNNNNNNNNNNNNNNNNNNNNNNNNNNNNNNNNNNAAGAGAUGCACUAGAGCUAUAAGUAUGUGAAAGCUCAAAAGGAAAACUAGUGGGUGUGCAUCCAACUUGCUUGCUCACGAAGACCUAGGACAAUUUUUGAGGAAGCCCAUCAUUGGAAUAUACAAGCCAAGUUAUAAAACGAAAAUUCACACUAGCAUAUGGUAAUGACAAAGCAAGAAGCUCUCAAUCAUGAAGAACAUGGUGCUAUUAUGAAGCACAAGCGUGGAAAAAGAUAGUAGCAUUGUCCCUUCUCUCUUUUUCUCUUUUUUUCAUUUGGGCUCUUAGGCCUCUUUUUCUGUUUUUUUUUUUGCUUUUUGGCCUCUUUUUUUUAUUUCCUCACAUGGGACAAUGCUCUAAUAAUUAUGAUCAUCACACUUUUAUUUACUCAUAGCUCAAAACUCACAAGGAUGACUCCAUAGGAAAUGCCUCCGGCAGUGUACCGGGAUGUGCAACGAUCUAGCAUGGCGUAUGACGUUGAAACAUCUCGCUAGCUAUCUUACGAUCAUGCAAUGGCAAUAUGAGAGUGACGGCUCAAGUCAUGAGACGGAAUGGUGGGAGUUGCAUGGCAAUAUAUCUCGGAAUGGCUAUGAAAAUGCCAUAAUAGGUAGGUAUGGUGGCUGUUUUGAGGAAAGCAUAUGGUGGGUUUAUGCACCGACAAGAAUUGCAUGGUACUUGAGAGGCUAGCAAUGGUGGAAGGUGAAAGUGCAUCUAUACCAUGGACUCACAUUAGUCAUGAAGAACUCACAUACCUGUUGCAAAAGUUUUUAUUAGUAAUCGAAACAAAGUGCUAAACGCAUACUCCUAGGGGAAGGGUUGGUAGGUGUUAACCAUCGCGCGAUCCCGACCUCAACACAAAGGAUGACAAUCAAUAGAUCAAUUAUGCUCCGACUUCCUAACAUAGCGGUUCACCAUACGUCCACGCUACGGGAAUCACUAACUUCAACACAAGUAUCUCUAGAUUCACAACACCCUACUAACAUAGCUCUUAGUAUUACCGAAUCCAUGUCUCAAAACUAAUUGAGAGGAAUCAAGACUUCUCUUUCUACUCAAUGCACAUGAAGAUGGAGGUUUUUGCGUCCUCUUUGGGUACCUAUCACCUUUGGGACUACUUUCAUAGCAUAAGCCAACUACCAAGUCACGCGCCGUCGUGCUCUAAAAGAUAUAAGUGAAGCACACAGAGCAAAAGUAUCUAGCUCAAAAGAUAUAAGUGACGCACUAUGAGCAUUCUAGCAAAAUCAUGAUGAGCGCAUGUCUCUCUCUCUCUCAAAAAGCUGUGCAGCAAGGAUGUUUGUGACACAACAAAAAGAAAAGACUCCUACGAUACAAGACGCUCCAAGCAAAACACAUAUCAUGUGGUGAAUAAAAAUAUAGCUCCAAGUAAUGUUACCGAUGGAUUAAAGACGAAAGAGGGGAUGCCUUCCCGGGGCAUCCCCAAGCUUAGGCUUUUUGGUGUCCUUCAAUUUGGCUUGGGAUGCCUUGGGCAUCCCCAAGCUUGAGCUCUUUCCACUCCUUAUCUCAUCGUCCAUGAGAACAUCACCCAAAACUUGAAAACUUCACAACACAAAACUUAAACAGAAACUCGUGAUAACAUUAGCACACGAAAACAAACUACCACCUCGUUAAGUACUGUAACAAUCUUGAUUUCUAUUUAUAUUGGUGUUGGGCUACUGUAUUCUCACUUUUCCAUGGCUAGUACUCCCCGAUACUAACCAUCUUUAGGUACCGAUACUUUCUGCAUCUACUACUAUUACUCCACACAUCAACCGCUAUCCAGCAUGCAUUUAGUGUGUUGAGUUCAUGACGAACAGAGUAACGCCUUAAGUAAGAUGACAUGAUGUAGAGGGAUAAACUCAAAGCAACGAUGAAAACCCCAUCUUUUUACCCUUGAUGGCAACAACACGAUGCGUGCCUCACUACCCCUUCUGUCACUGGGUGAGGUCACCGCACGGUAUGAACCCAAAACCAAGCACUUCUCACAUUGCAAGAAUCAUAGAUCUAGUUGGCCAAACAAAACCCACAACUCAAAGAGAAUUACAAGGAUAUGAAAUCAUGCAUAAGAGAGAUCAGAAGAAACUCAAAUAAGAUUCAUAGAUAAUCUGAUCAUAAAUCCACAAUUCAUCAGAUCUCGACAAACACACCACAAAAGAAGAUUACAUCGGAUAGAUCUCCAUGAAGAUCAUGGAGAACUUUGUAUUGAAGAUCCAAGAGAGAGAAGAAUCCAUCUAGUUACCGGCUAUGGACCCGUAGGUCUAUGCUGAACUACUCACGCAUCAUCGGAGAGGUCAUGCUGUUGAUGAAGAAGCCCUCCGUAUCCGAAUCCCCCCUAUGGCAGGGCACCAAAACGUGCCCAGAUGGGAUCUUGCGGAGACAGAAGCUUGCGGCGGCGGAAAAGCACUUUCGAUGAUCUCCAGAUUUUUUGUGGAAUUUUUGGGGAUAUAUAGGCGCAAAAACUAGGGCAAAGGAGGUCCAGGGGACCCACAAGCCUGGGGGCCGCGGCCUCCCCCCUGGCCGCGGUGAGGGGGCUUGUGGGGCCACUGGGGACCCCCUGCCUUGGCUCUCAAGUCUCCCGAUCUUCUUGUGUUACGAAAAAAAUCUUUUCGGGGAUUUUAUUCCGUUUGGAAUCCGUUUCAAAAUCUCCUCUAAAAGGGGUCAAAAACAUGGGAAAAACAGGAACUGUCACUUGGCACCGAGUUAAUAAGUUAGUCCCAAAAGAUAUAUAAAAGGCAUGCAAAACAUCCAAAGUUUGACAAGAUAAUAGCAUGAAACCAUCAAAAAUUAUAGAUACGUUGGAGACGUAUCAGUGGCUUGCAUGAAUGGCGCUCGGCCGUCGGCGCACCGCCUUUGAAGAUCAUGUUAUUGAGGAAACGGUUGGUCGUGUCAUCGUCGAUGGUUGCCGAUAUUCUGUCGAACAGAUUGCAGACGCUGGUGAGCAUGUCGGCUGGCAUCUCGCGCUGGCGUUUUCUCAUGCCUCCGGACGAUGAUCCGCCUGCUACCGGCGCGGCGUUGAGGUCGAUGGUCACCGGCGCAGGCGUGGAAGGGGCCACGAUGCUCACCUCAAGUGAGCAUUUCCCGGAGAAGCGGUUGCCUUGCGGGUAUACGUGGAAACCGGGAAUCAGCUGCAUGCAAGACACGCGCGACGACUCUGGCAACAUCAUCCGAGGAUAUGCCGACGAGCCCAUGCUGGCCGCGGCCGCGACAACGGCGGCAUUGACAAGCCCGUGAUGGCUAGGGUUUACCCCUAGGUACAAUAAGGCCUCCGUCGUUGCCGCCUUCACCCGGGCAUUGAUGUCUUCGUGUUGCGCGGCGGCGGCGAUGGCAGUGGCGGCAGCUGCCUCGCCCUUUGCAUCAUGCGUGUGCCUCCGGUCCUUCCUCUUGGCCGACUCCACGGCCCGCUCCUCGGGCGUCAACUCCUUCUUCUUCUUCUUGGGCGACGCGACGGCCUUGCGGGAGGGGGGUGAAGAUUCGUCACCAUCGUAGUGGUCAUCAUCGUCUUCACGCGUCUUCAUCCUCCUCCUUGUUGUCGUCCAUGAUGAUGUCGACGUACAAUGGUGGCCGUCAGAGGUGGGUCGGUGGCCCCCGUGAUGGAUGCCAGGCUAGAGGCUCCUGCACCAGCUCUUCCCAUGGCACAGACGACUUCGACAAUGGCGACCGUGGCGGCGUUGGUGACCAUGGCUCGACACCCACUCACGAGGUCAUCUCCGAUGUCGCUGACGACCACAUCGACAUGUGGCCCACCAACGUCGGGUUCCAUGCCGCAAUGGGGGGCUCCUCCAACACUUCCUCCUUGACGACCAUGUCCAGCUCCGGGAUGGUCAUGUAGACGGACGCGGAGAGGGCUAUCAUCUCGUGGGGGGCAUUGGGCCUCGUUAUGGGUUCAGUCGAAGGACCUGCCUCAAGAGCUCCGCUUCCCAAAUGAUGACAUAUAUGGACCCAUGUGAAAACAAAUGUGCGAACAUGACAACACAAAAUAAAAUGGACGCGCAUGAUUGAUUUUGUGCGAGCAUUAAACAAAUCGAAUGAUUAUAGAUUUAGAUGAGACAUCAGAUGAGAUUUAGCAAAUCCAAAGAAAAACAAGUCAAGUUACGCUCUUCUCUAAUACACAAUCGAACCAAAAUAAACAAAAAAAGAUAGGUGACCCUCCACAUAAAAUCCAAAGCCGACAAAAUAAAGGCAAUUACACAAAACACAAAAAUGGCACAUUAAAAAGUCAUCCCGGGCUCACUGCUCCAUGAGGGAUGAACAGAAAACAUGACACAACUAGAACAAGCACGACUCCCAAACACAUAUAUCUACCGAUAUAUAAGUUAGAUGAGACAUUGUUAACUAUCUUCUGGACGAAAAUUAGCAAAACCAAUCCGAAACAAAACCCCGAGAUCAUGCCUUAAAAACGGCUUAUCAAAAGAUGCACACGCAAAUUGAUCGACAAGUAGACACCAGACAUACGACUCGACAUAAGACGCAGUAACAAAAUAACCCGUGAUCAAGAUUUGCAGGACAAUUAAACCCAACAGAUGACAAUGUAAUUUUCUUUCAUGAAUUUAAAACAACUAAACAAAGAAGAAAAGAAAAAACAAAGAAAAGAAAAAAUGGGAAAGAAGAAAAUAUAAAAUAUAAAUAAAACAUGAAAUUAAAUAGUUCAUAACUCAAAUCAAAUAAUGAAACAGAAAAAAUGAAAAAGGGAAAAAUGAAACAACAAAUAAAAAGAACACAGCACACAUAUAGACUACUGCCCAUAAUAAGAGGAAACUAUACGAGCUGAGUGCACUUAUCUGAAGGGUCGUACAAAAUGGGACAACAAGAAAGUACAUGAAGGACUAGAAAAAAGACAACAUAUGGAAGGACAACCCACAUUUUAAAAGAUAACGAAUAUUAAAGUUUUUCAUCAAAGGCUUAGGGCAUCCAUAAUAUAGUGUUUUGCUGCCUCUAAAGAUCGCAUCUAAGAGUUUAAAGUCGGCGUCAUACACUGCACAUCCAGCCUCUAAGCUAAAAAGCGUUGGAGUCGCCUCCAUGCUAAGAGGCUGCCUCCAAGCUUCUUCUUUGAUUAAAAUAAUAUGGUGAUCCUACUUGUUAUUUUGAUGACCUCGGAGCUCAUCUAGGUGAGUUGAUGAGAGAAAGAAAUAUAUUAUAUUACAUCUGGGUAAAUGUUUAGAGGCUGCAACAUCUUUAUACAUUGUGGGGUUUUGAACAAAGUUUAGAGGCAAGCAUGUGGGUCCCGUAUUAGAGGCACUGCUGCCUCCACACAUUGUGGAUGCUUUUAGGAGUUAGAUGUGAGACUAGAUGUGAAAUAACAAUUAUGUUUGGUUAAAUACUCGUUUUUUUAACUCAGUUCAUUUUGUUGUCUCAAAUGUUUGCUAGCAACGAAUAUGUUAUGAAAUGACAUGUCAUGAUCCACUUUUCUACAACUAUAAAUAUCUUCGAUGCUUUAUGACCACAUUUAUAAGACUUUGUCAUUGUUAUUGGCAUGUUGACAAUAUUUUGCAGUGAACCUACUGAAAAAUAUAUAUCGGCCUCUUGGUCAUGCGUUGUAUAUAUGUGUUCUUCAUAUCUCCUAGGCUUAACUUUUAAUUUAUGAUGGCUGAACCCGGCUAUAGCAAAGGCACAAGGCACGCGCCAUUCCAUCUAGUCAAAUGAAGUGGGGGAGGUCACGGCGAGCACAUAUGCAAGGUCGUGAUUCGAAAAUCAUAUUCUUACGAUUGAAGAUUUUAUGAAAUAUGUAUGUACCAUAGUUUAUUUUAGAUUGUACUCCCUCUGUUUUCAAAUAUAGAACAUUUUAAAGAUUACAUUAUAAAAUACAUACGAAUAUACAUAAAUAUAUUAUAAAGUGUUCAUUCACUCAUUUUAUAAUGAAUUUAAAAAAUAUCUAUUUAUAAAUGGAAGGAGUAUAAUUGCUCCCACGUGGUUUAGCAACCGUCGCCGGAACUGGCACGUAAAACUUUUUGUAGAACAUGUACAUAUGAAUAGCAUUGCUGGUCGAGAUUACCACAACUCGUCAUGAUUGAAUUUACUCCCUUCAAUCUAAAAUGCAAGCAGCUUAAUUUUUUGAAAAAUUAAACAUAUCGGUGUUUGACCAAAGCAACAGAGACAAAUGUUAACGUCCACGAUAUCAGAUGAGAAUUAUUUAGUUAGUCACGAAAUAUUAUUUCAUAGUAUUAUAUAUAGUUCAUUCUGUAGAUGCUACUCCUUUCGUCCCAAAAUAACUGUCUUAAGCUUAGUACAAAUUUAUACUAGAUCUAGUAUAAAGUUGAGACAGUUAUUUUGGGANNNNNNNNNNNNNNNNNNNNNNNNNNNNNNNNNNNNNNNNNNNNNNNNNNNNNNNNNNNNNNNNNNNNNNNNNNNNNNNNNNNNNNNNNNNNNNNNNNNNNNNNNNNNNNNNNNNNNNNNGACAGUUAUUUUGGGAUAGGGUAUUUUUUUCUAAAAUAAAGAAUCUAGUUAGCUUUCACAUCCCAUUGAUGCUGCCUGCCUCCCUCCCACAAUGGUUUGUAAUUUUUUUUCUCCUAGAUGAUGAACCAUGGUUCGUAUCAUCGCAAAUAGAAUGAUCAAAUAUCCCCCCGACAAAAAGGACAGUAGUUUCAUGCAUACAUACACCAUUCUACAUUUUCUUGCGAGUAUGUAAACCAUUCUACAUAUUGCUGGGAGACAAACAACAUAUGAACCAUAACCAAUUCAAAAGCCUAAUUAAUCAGUUCGGCUAAAUUACUAAGUAUAGUACUGAACAACAUGUGAUCCACUUUGAUGGCAUGGCUGACACCAUCCAUUCGGAUUACAUCGUACUAUCCUUCUAGUAACUAACAACAAGACUUGAUCAACUUUUACUGAACUCUCUAGAAAUAUACGUACUACUACUACUACGGAGUACUACUGAAUUAACGAACAAGAAAGCUUAAUUAGCCGCCUUCUGAUGAGUCAUGGGUCAUGUGUUGUUGGAGAAGAUCAUGUGCUGCCUCACGGGCACUCUCCCCAGCCCUCCUCGGCGUCCACGGCGGCGGCCGGUCUCCUGGCGCGCGCGCCGCCCAUGGACGAAGCCACCUCCACGAGGAUCCUCGCCGGCACGUGCGCGCACGCCUCCAGCCGCCGGAGCGCGUCGCCGGCCUCGUGUGCGCCGCCGACGUGAGCCGCCAUCACCUCCAAGCAAAGCGCGGCCGCCAUCGCGACGCGCAGCNAUCCUCGCCCCGAUCGCCGCGACGUGGAGGGCGCGCGGCCGUCCCGGCCGCUCACGCGAUUCGCACCGGGCCCGGCGGCAGCGACCGAUGGCACCUCGCGAGCGGUGGCCAUGUGGCCGCCCGCUGCGCGGUCGACACCUGGUGGCGCACUCGGCACAAGUGGCUGCGGUUGAUCGAGCGCGGGGCGAGGGGGGGCCGAGCGAGGAUCGCCGUGAGCCGCGAGUUUGAGAGGGGCGUCGCCAUCGGCGG